rnacentral:lncRNA from 1 species
UUUUAAACAGCAAAUUUUAUUUAUAUGCUAACCCAACACAAGAAGUGAAGAGGCUAGAGGAAAGACACAAGAUAACAGAUACAUAAAGACAGACAACUAAACCAAAGGCCAAAAAGCCACAACACAAAACCACCCAAACAACCCUUAAUACAAUAGAAUCACAGCAGAAAAACCUUAACCAAAUCAAGCAAAUUAAAAACAAUUACUUAGUUGAUAUUUGUAUGCCUUGUCGCGUUGAUGUUUCAGAAAUGUCUAGGUGGAGGGGAAUGGUGGUGGGGGGGAAGGGGGUGAAUGUUUAUAAGGUCGAAAUUUGACUACAGGAGGACGGUAAGGGGGUAAAUGUCCUGGGAACUGGUUGGAUGGAGGUUUGAAUAUUGGAGUGAUAUGAAAGGCAGCAUCAGCAAAAUGUUGAGGACCAAACAUAAGAGCAGCAAGGAAUACCACUAGCAAGGAUAAGAAAAAGGAUUUAGCCAUUUUAAGAAGUGAUAUUAUUAUUAGUGUUGGUGCAUAAUACAUAUGGAGUUAACUGGUUUUAUACUAAUUAGAGACUCAAAGUGAGUUUAUGGUCAAUCAAAGUCAUUUACUAAAUGUCAAAAUUGUGUAUGAAUUGAAUUAUUCAACAAUGUUACAAGGUCCAUGUAUUUGCUACUACUUGAUGAUCCUUUCAUUUUCCACACAACAAGACCAUUUAGUAUUAUUGGCUUUAUCUCUCCGCUUGUUUGCACACCAUAUGGUUGCGCUCCUUAAUUCUGAAAUAUAGAAUGAUUUUAAACUCAUUUUAGAUUCUCCAAAAAUUAAAAUCUCAUUCCUACGACAACAGAAAAUGGAAGAAACACAAGAUUGUUGGUGUAUUGGUAGCUUACAGUCUGUUGGAAAAAUUCAAUAAGCUAGUUUAUAGUUUCUUUUAAAAAGUAUAUGAGUUUAUAGUUUAUUUUAUUAAUUCCUUUUUCACAAUUGCUUACCUGUAAGAUUAAAAAGUAUAUGUUUCACAAUUGCUUUUUCAUCACAGACUUAUAGUUAUUUUAUUAAUUUAUAGCUUAUUUUUUAGAAGUUAUUUCAAAUAGUGUAUGAGCUUAUAAUUUAUUAUUUUUAUUUCACGCUUACCUUUCAUCAAAUGAUGGAACCGCUUUCCGGACCCUGCGUAUACGUGAGCUUCAGUGCACCGGGUUGUCCUUUAUUUCAUGCUUACCUUUAUUAUUUUGUCUCAAAUUUAUUUUUAUCCUUUAUAAUUUGUAAUAAAGAAAAUGCUAAAAUGUUCUAAAAAAUUGAUAAUUAAGUCAUAAAAUAUUUACAUUCUAAAAAUAUUCAUUCCAACUUUGUUUAAAGAUGCAUCUUCAUCAUCAUAUUCUUGUAAAAAAAUCAAACAGUAAAUUUCAAACGGAAAUUCUUAAAAUUCUUCAAAAAUGCUUUUAUUUGUACAAUUCUAAAGAAUUUAACCACUCCUUAAAAAAAAAAUUAACCAUGUGAUGAUCAGUACAUAUCCUUUAAUUUUACACACCAUAAAAUCAUUUAGUAUUAUUGGUACUAUAACAAGGUAAUGAGUGGAAGUUAUUUGCUACUAAUAUUCUUGAAUUAAGAUUUAGAAAAACCGUACUCCAAGAGCAUGAUAAAUUUUGCAAAUCUAUUCAAAAAAGAGUAUUGACGAGUUUUACAUUUACACGCUCCUUGAACAUUCAUCAAUAUAUCAUCAACAAAACCAAUAUGUAAAUACUACUCCGUCCCUAAAUAUAUAGGAGUCUUUUGUAAAAAUUACGGAGAUUAAGAAAGUUAGUUUUAGUAUUAAAUUUGAAUAUAAUUACUAUUGUUUUUACGAUUUUAUCCUUAAGAGAGAGUUAAUUUAUGUUUUCAACAUAAUAUUUAUUUUUGAUUGAAGAAAAAGAUGCAAAAUAAAUAAAGGUAUGUUACUAAAUAAAUAAUUAAUGUACUAGGGACGGAGGUAGUAUUAGAUAAGGAACAUGAAUAUUUGGGAGGAAAAAUUCUUUGCAUAAGAGGAUCGUCUUAAACAACAAACUGAAAUUAAAAAUACUUGCAAUUGCGGAAGUCUUAAACAACAAACUGAAAUCAUAUCACGAAUAUUAUUAAGUUAUGGACCAAUUUGUAUGCAACAGUUAACCACCAACUACUGCAAGAAAAUAUCAUAUUAGCUACCAAAAUCUAGCUACGGUCUAUUGCUCUAGUUAAUUUGUCUUUAAUUAGCUUUGCUCUUACUACAAGUGAAGUUUGCUAGCUGAUGCUUACACUUGUUCGUUUUUUUUUUUUUUUUGAUUGUACCCAAAUAAAACUAUUUAGCAUCACUGCAAAUGCAUUUUUUUUCAAUUCUUUUGUUUAUGCAAUUUAGAUUCACUCUUGUGGAAUCUAUAAUGUGGACUCUAUAAUAUAUAUUGUUGAUGUUAAUAUUUUUAAAAUUUUAUUUUCAAAUGAGCGUUCAAAUAUACUGAUGCUAAAAUUUUGUAAAUUUUAAUUCUACAAAAAGCAUGCAUGAAUACUUAUGCAAAAAAAAUUACUCAUUUUUUUCUUUAUUUAUUUUGACAAAAUUUCAUUUUCCCCCAUUUAUCUUCUUUCCCACAAUUUUUUUAACACUUCCCGAAAUCUUUUUCCCACUAAUAUUUUAUUUUCCUUUUUCUUUUUACAACAAUUCAUUUCCUCAUCGAACAAAAAGGGAAAACUCAAGAUGUGAAAAAUCAAUAUGAGAAAGCCAUUUUCUCAAUGUGAGUUUAUGGUCAAUAUAAGUCAUUUACUAAAUUCAACAAUGCUACACUCAUAGGUACCAUGUAGUAUUUGCUAGUUAUUGAUGAUCAGUAGCUAUCCUUUCAUUUUCCACACAACAAGACCAUUUAGUAUUAUUGGCUUUAUCUCUCCACUUGUUUGUGCACCAUGGUUGCACUCAUUAAUUCUGAAUUAUUAUAGAAUGAUUUUAAACUCAUUUUAGGUCCUCCAAAAAUUAAAAUACUCAUUCCUACGACAACACAAAAUGCAAGAAACACAAGAUUGUUGGUGUAUUAUAAGCCUGUAAGAUUAUACCGUAUAUGUUUCACAAUUGCUUUUUCAUCACAAGUUUAUAGUUUAUUUUAUUUGAAGUUAUUACAAAUAGUGUAUGAGCUUAUAAUUUUUUUUUUUUAUUUCAUGCUUACCUUUAUUAUUUUGUUUCAAAUUUAUUUUUAUCCUUUAUAAUUUGAAAUAAAGAAAAUACUAAAAUGUUCUAAAAAAUUGAUGAUUAAGUCAUAAAAUAUUUACAUUCUAAAAAUAUUAAUUCCAACUUUGUUUAAAGAUGCAUCUUCAUCAUCAUAUUCUUGUAAAAAAAAUCAAACAGUAAAUUUUAAAUUGAAAUUCUUAAAAUUCUUCAAAAAUGCCUUUAAUUUUCCACACCACAAAACCAUUUAGUAUUAUUGGUGCUAUGAAAAGGUAAUGAGUGGAAGUUAUUUGCUACUAAUAUUCUUGAAUAGAUUUAGCAAAACCGUACUCCAAGAGCAUGAUAAAUUUUGCAGACGGUGAAAAUUUAUUGUGACAAUAAACUAUUUAAAAAAGAGUAUUGACGAGUUUAACAUUUACACUGUAUAAACCCAAAUAUGCAAAAACCCAUAUACUUCUUGAACAUAUCAAGAAAACCAAGAUGUAAAUAUUAGAUAAGGAACAUAAAUACGUCGGAUGAAAAUUUCUUUGCAUAAGUGGAUCGUAAUAAAAAUUAACAAUAAGUUCUUAAAUACAUGCUUCUGAAAGUCUGAAAUACAAUAAAUACAAUAUGCUCUUAAAUUAACAAUAUCAUAGAAAGUCUGAAACUAAAAAUUGCGGAAGUCUUAAACAACAAACUGAAAUCAUAUCAGAAAUAUUAAGUUAUGGAACCAAUUUGUAUGUAAUAGUGAACCACCAACCAUUACAAGAAAAUAUCAUAUUAGCUACCAAAAUCUAGCUACGGUCUAUUGCUCUAGUUAAUUUGUCUUUAAUUAACUUUGCUCUUACUGCAAGUGCAAUUUGACUGGCUGAUGCUUACACUUGUUCGUUAUUGUAUAAAAAAAUUAAAACAAAUUGUAAUGUCUUCUGAUGCCUUUUGGAUCUUCAUUGAUGGUAUUUCCUAGUUCUUCACAAGUCUUUAAGAUGUUCUGCUUUGCGUAUUUGCAUAAUUUCUUCUUGAAUUAUAUAAAAACUAGAAUUACAUGAGUCAAACAGAAAACAUUACAAAUAUCCCAAAAACCAUAGGAAAUUGUUCUAAUACUCCAUUCUGGAUUAAAACUAAUUGAAAAUGACUGGAAAAACAUGCCAAGAAUAACGUAAGAUGAUAUGUUAUCACAACCUCAAACUUAAACUGUUGUUUGUCGGCAAGUAACGAACGAAAAUAAAUUUUAAUUUUGCAUAUUUUUCAAGAAAAACAUAUCUUUUCAAAGAGGUUGCUCAGAUCGUCUUCUCGUCUCAUUUACAGACUUGACUAACUUACACCUUCCAUGAAAGCGCGACAGAAUUAGAGAAUAUAGCCCAUACUCUCAACCACACUCUUAUCCAUGAUACAUGCAUGUAUCACACAAACUCGGUAGGGUUGGUCACGAUAUUUGUCCACUCUAGUCGUCACAUGAAUGUAUCUUGAUGUAAAUUUGAGAGAACUCUAAACAGACAGUCAAGAUCAUACUAUAUACAAAGUAUUAGUUCUUUCAAGGUUAUAACGUAUCUUAGGUUAAGGUGAGAUAUAUUAGAAAAGUAGGCUAACAAAACAACUUGAAGUUAGAUUAUCAACCUGAGGUUUCCUACUAAACAUUGAAGUACUACUAACAUUCCUUCCUUAAACCAAACAAGAUGGGUAUUAAAUAGAACUAUUUAUCUUUUCCUACAUUUGUUUUAAAAGACCAAAAUAUUUGAUGUUUUUAGCUCUUGAUUUUUUCUUUUUUCUAUUUUUUUAUGUAGACCCAUGGUUAUCAACAUUUUUUCAUUUUUUUUCUUUGUGAUAUAAAUAAGUUCUCUGGUAGCCCUUCCUCAAAAAGAAAUCCAAGUUUAGUUUCAAAUCAUACCAAAUUAUUAAAAAUAUUAUAUCUAACUCCAAGAGAAAUCAAAUAGAUGACUUUAAGGAUCAAAACACCCACAACGAGCCGGUAAUAACACAACGCCUAAAACUGAAAAAAAACAAUGCGUCGAAACUCGUUAAGACAACCGUUAGUCUAAUUGGCUAUAUAAGCCUUAAGGUACUAUUAGACAUAACAAUUCUUUCUUAAUAAAUAUUAUUUUCAUUUCACUUUUUCUAUAUUUUGUUUUCAUUUAUGAGUUCCAUCAAGAAUUGUGAUAAUGUGUCACUUGAAAAAAAGAUAGACUAAUGUCACUUAUGAGUUCUAUCAUGAAUUGUAAUAAUGUGUCACUUUUAUAUACAUAUGUUUCAGUAUGGACGGACUGAAGUCAAACACACGUUAGUACUUAGCCAAAAAGCUCGACAAAGUUUCUGGUAACAUAUUUAAUUAAAAUUCAAUAUAAAUAAAAGUGUGAAAAAGCUACUCAACCGUACAAGUUGCCUUUGCAUCCCAGUGCAACUGACACAAAUGUGGUAGCCUCGGUUAGGCUACUAAUACAAUGUGUUAGUUUACAUCAAAAUAUAUAUUCUUUUUAUCAGCAAAUAAAAUUAACAACAGUCCGAGCGCAAUAACCCGAAAGACUUACAGGUACGAGUGAGAAGGAAAAGCAUGCAGAAAACGACUUCUAUUAGUUCGACAGUUUCGUCAAAGGGUGCAGUGAAUGAAUUUGUAUGAGAUGAUGGGUUAGGGUUCUAUUGAGAAGAAUUUCUGGGUGGAGAUGAGAGGGUUCAGUGAGAAGUUGAGAUGAUGGCAUAUGGUUUGAAGGGUUCGGAGUAGAGAAGUUAAAAUUUGAAGGAUCUGUGGGUAGAUGUUUGAGAGGUUUAGGUUCGAUGAAGUGAUUUUGGUAGAAGUUGUGUUUUGGGUGCAGAAAAGAGGAGAGGGAAUGAACAAUUACUUCAGCGCCAGACGCAAAAUUUUGCGGUUUAUUUUUUUUUUUUUUAUUUAACUUUUUUUUUUUUUAAUUUGGUAUGCCGUAUGUGCAAAGAUAGCCCUUCCCCAUUAAACGCUAACAAAUCAUUUACACCAAUAUUAGCGUUCACUAGAAAACGCUAUCACACUCUUAUCAUCACACACCUUUUUUUUUUAUAAUUUUUUUUAAUACCAUAUAAUAGCACUUUCUAUAAAAGGGCUAAUAUAGGUGUCACGUUAUAAUAGCAUGCGUAACGGAAGUGCUAUUAUUAAUAUUAGAGUCAAUCUUUUCAUAGCAUUUUCUCUAAAAGUGCUAUUAAAUUAGCGUUUCCGUUAUAAUAGUCCUUAUGAACAUCAAAUUAAGUUUGGUAUUUUUCAUUAUUCAUGUCGGCGAUUUUUACUAGUUUUGAUUUAAGUAAACGUUUUGAUUGACUUUAAUGACUAAAGUAACUAAGAGAAUAAAGAGUGAAGGAUUUAAUUGGCGUUUUAUUCAAGUCGUGGACCAAAAUUAAAUCUUGUUACACUUUUAAGGAGAAAAAUGGUUGUUUUUCCAAUAAUGUUUUCCAAUAUUAAAUUACAGUUGUUUUAUGCCUUAGGGAUGUUACACUUAAUUGAUAACUUAAAUAAGGUUUUUGGAGGUAAAUAAGAAAGAUGCAAAACCUCCAGCCAAGCCAAAACAACCCCGUUUCGAUUUGUGAACUUGACCAUAAUAUAUUAUACACAAGAUAUAUAAAAACAAAGCAUUGGUAACUAGUAGAUUUUUUUUUUUUAACAGCAAAGUUUAUUUAUAUGCUAACCCAACACAAGAAGUGAAGAGGCUAGAGGAAAGACGCAAGAUAAGAGAUACAUAAAGACAGACAACUAAACCAAGGCCAAAAAGGCACAACACAAACCACCUAAACAACCCUUAAUACAAUAGAAUCACAGCAGAAAAACCUUAACCAAAUCAAGCAAAAACAAUUGCUUAGUUGAUAUUGGUAUGCCUUGUCGCAUUGAUGUUUCAGAAAUGUCUAGGUGGAGGGGAAUGUUGUCUUAUAUGUGGUAAUACAGGUGGUAAUCCAUGUGGUAAACCCCUUACGAAUGGAGUCAAAUUGGUAAAUUUUUGUUCUGGGAUAGUAAUUGGAGGGAGAUUGCAAAAUGUUGAGGAGAAAACAUAAGAGCAGCAAGGAAUAACACUAAUAAGGAUAAGAAAAAGGAUUUAGCCAUUUUAAGAAGUGAUAUUAUUAUUGUGUUGGUGCAUAAUACAUAUGGAAUUAACUGGUUUUAUACUAAUUAGAGACUCAAUGUGAGUUUAUGGUCAAUCUAAGUUAUUUACUAAAUGUCAAAAUUAUGUAUGAAUUGAAUUAUUCAACAAUGUUACAACUUCCAUGUAUUUGCUACUAGUUGAUGAUCAUUAACUAUCCUUAAUUUCAUUUUCCAUACAGCAAGACCAUUUAGUAUUAUUGGCUCUAUCUUUCCACUAAUAGGUAUGUAUUUGAUAAAUUUUAUACACAUUUUUUUUAAAUAAUUAUUUUUAUUAAAUCGCCCUUAGAAAAGUAAAAAAAAAAACAGCCUUUAAUUAGCCGCUAUAGUUUUUUUUUACAAAACUAGCCAGUAUAGUUUUAUCUCUAUAGUCUAAAUACAUUAUUGUUGUCAUUUACUAAAAUUAUUGAUCUAUAACAAUAACCAUAUACGAAGAAUACCUCAAAAAAAAACAAAAAACGUACGAAGGAGAAUCAACCAUCUGGAUAAUACAUAUCCUUAUUUUAUUUAUUUGAAUUUGAAUGGCAACCACCAAAGCCACAUAUAGAAAGAAUAUUUUCCUACCAAUCGUACAUGAUGCCCAUAACAAAAGAUAGGUUCCAUAAUAUGGCCCCAUAAUAUCCUUAUCCUUAUAAUUAUGGUUCAGAAAAUAAAAAACCUCGUUAAGUUUUAGGAUUAUUUUAAGUUGAUAAAUAUUAACGAGUAUCUUCAGAGCAUUUUUUAAGCAUCUAAAGUGGUAAGAUUUUAUGAAAGUUGAGCAUUUAUUAUAUUGGAAAUUGAAGUCUUUACAUUUCUUUUAAAAAUAAUUUUUUCAUUAUAAAUGCUUAAAAGAUGCUCCAUGGACAUUCAUUAACAGGACUCUUUUAAGUUUUAGAAUGUUAGCAUUUCCCUAAGACACAUGUUAAAGAUAGAGAUAUAUUAUGGCCUCUCACGGUAGCACCCGCCUACGUAGCGAGUUUAUGGUCAAUCUAAGUCAUUUACUAAAUGUCAAAAUUGUGUAUGAAUUGAAUUAUUCAACAAUGUUACAAGCUCCAUGUAUUUGCUACUAGUUGAUGAUCACUAACUAUCCUUUCAUUUUCCAUACAACUAGACCAUUUUUUUUUAGUAUUAUUUGCUCUAUCUCUCCACUUGUUUCCACAAAUAUGAUUAAUUUUUUUCGAAAAUUUUGUUUUUUUAAAUAUGAUAUUAUGGAAAACAAAAUUCGAAAAUUUGAAUAUAUAUUAAUCUUUUCCACAAUUUUUUUAAAUAUUUCCCGAUUAUUUUUAUAAUUUUUCCAGAUUUUUUUCAUUAUUUUUUAUUUUACCAGAUUUUUUUAAUCAUUAUUAAUUUUUACAUUUUUUUUUUAAAAUUUUUCAGUAUUUUUUUUAAUCAUUAUUCGUUUUUUAAAUUUUUUUAUUUUUAUUUUAAAAAAAUCACAAAUGCCACGUGGCGUUCAUUUACACGCGUGGCAUGAAAAAAAUUAAACAAAAAAAAAUUGACACGUCACUGCCACGUAGUAGAUUCUGCCGACACAUUGAGGUGAGGGGUCAAUCCUGAAGAAUCUUCAUUUUUCAAGGGUGGAAUCUAAAAAAAAAAAAUUACAGGGGCUAAAACCAAAAGUGCAUUAUAUUACAAAGGCCAAAAACACUAUUAACACUAUAUUAUUACUUCUUCUUUUUUAUAAAAAUCCAAAUAAAAAUCAUUUGCAUUGCAGCCAAUUGGCCAAAUGCAACAUGACAAGCGCAAAAUUGCUCCAUGUUGACUUGUGAGAACUCUUGUUCUAGAUAGAGAACCUUAUAGUUUUUGUUGUCACAGAAAAUGUUAAACAACUUUUUCCAUGCAAUUUAUGCGUCUGAAUCGCGCUUGAUGAUGGUGAUGAGAAUAUAUUCUGAGGUGGUGUCAUAUAUCCAUUAUAAUACGACAACAUCAAAAAGCGGCCAAAGAUUGGGAUUGAUUUCUUUGAGAGAGGGAGUUGUUGGCUUAUUAGUGGGUGAGGGAGGAAUGAUGUGAUGAAAGACUUGAUGAACCCUUGCAUGAAUUUUAAAGAGUUCGAACCACGUAUUAUAUUGGACCCUUUUUUAUACUAAACGUAACCUUGAUGAAAUUGGUGAUAAUUGAAAAUGGUGGUAGAGGGAUGGAUAGGUGUGGAAGGAGUUGGGGUUGAAAUUGUCCUUCGAGUGGUAGUAUUUUUGGGGAUGAUUCGGCCCUGAUGGUGAAUGAAGGAGAAGAGGAACGAUGGCGCUGUAUUAGGUUUACGAGAGAAGGAUGAGUACCAAUAACUUACUGAUACCAUGUAAGAAUUAUAAUAAGAUAAUUAUUAGUCGUGUGUCAUUUGCAUUGAGAGGAUCCGUUGACACUAGGUGUCAAACUUUAGUUUGACAUCAAAUCUCAACCGUCUAUUAUGUCUAAUCUAAUGGUCUGUGAUUAUUUAUUAAAUUAACUUGUGUGAUCUUUUUCCCAUGUCUCACCUGAUCCCACGCCGGCUGUUCUGCUCCAUCUCCUUCAACUUAUCAAAGUUAAUAUGGCCAACAAUCAAAUACACACACAAAUUAAUUCUUUUAUUUUUUAAAGAAGAAGAAGCUAAAUUAGCCCACACAAAUUGGCACCGGAGAGAAUCGAUCCUGAGACCUCGAGGAGGAGCACACUCCCAGAUCCCAAGUCAAUACCACCAGACCAACCCAAAUGAUAAAUAAGGAGUUAAUUCUAAAUAAGGAGUUAUACAUAUAAUUACAUAUUGUUGACAUUAAUUGUUCUCUGUGGGGCAAGAUACUUGAGGUGUAAGUUUCAUAAGAUGCAAGUUCUUUUAAGUCUAAAUUGUCUUAUACUUACAUUAUUUUAGGUCUAAAUUUCAGAAACCAUUAUCACAAAUUUUUUGACAAUCUUAUAUCACAUACUCGUACUAUAUUUUUACUUCUCUUUUUGUUGUUUUGGUUUUUGUUUUCAUACCUAAUUUUCCUUGUAAAUAUAUAGUUGUCUCAUAAAUUAUCGUUAAAAUUGUUGUUCAAAUAACACAACUCUUAUUUCUAAUACUCAAAAUUUGUUCAAAUUAAGUUUUUAAAGAACUUCUAAUAAAAUCAGAUUAAGUUUUUUUGAACUUUCUAAAUACUUAAAUUGAAUUUUCUCGAAUAUACAUCUUGGAGAAAGAAAAAAAAUAAUUAUAGGAGGGAGAUGCAAAACUUACGUUUUCUUUCUCUAGAAACAUAUUUUGAGUUUUCAAUAUCAUCAAAAUCAUAAACUUUAUUUAUUUGCAAAUCUAGAGCACAUAUAGCACGAUUUUCUCUCAUAAUUUACAUUGAUAUAACACAUAUUAUGUUCUUACCUUGCCCAAACAUUCGGGAUUUAAUUGAUAAUGUAAAAGAUGUUUUCAAAUGUAGAAUAAGAAAGAUGGAAAACCUCCAAGCCAAAUUAUACACAAGAAUAUAAAACAAAGCAUUUACUUGGUAGAUAAUAUUUUCUUUUUAAACAGCAAAUUUUAUUCAUAAUAAGAUAACCUAACACAAGAAGUGAAGAGGCUAUAGGGGAAAGACACAAGGUAACAAUACAUAAAGACAACUAAACCAAUGCUAAAAAGCCACAUCACAAAACCACCCAAACAACCCUUAAUACAAUAUAAUUGAACCAGUUUCCAUCAACACCACAUCAAUAGACCCCUAAAUAAUUGAACAAAAACCAGCCACCUAAACUUCCUGGUACCAGUAAAUUACAAUUACUUAGUAGAUAUUGAUAUGUCUUGUUGCAUUGAUGUUUCAGAAAUGUGUGGCUGGAGGGUAAUCUUUGGGUCGUAACUUCCACAAUAUCUUCGAGCAGCGAUUGAUUUUGGGAGGUUUGAAUUUUGGCAAGGCAGCAUCAACAGCAAAAUGUUGAGGAGCAAGCAUAAAAGCAGCAAGGAAUAACACUAAUAAGGAUAAGAAAAAGGAAUUAGCCAUUUUAAGAAGUGAUAUUAUUAUUGUGUUGGUGCAUAAUACAUAGGUAGUUAACUGGCUUUAUACUAGUUAGAGACUCAAUGUGAUUUUUUGGUCAAUCUAAGUCAUUGUGUAUGAAUUCAAUCAUUCAACACGUAGGUUCCAUGCAUUUGGAAAACUAGUUGAUGAUUAAUAAUGUUCAAUAUAUUAGGCUAUGAAUUGUUUAUGAAUUGAAUUAUUGAACAAUGUUACAUGUUCCAUGUAUUUGCAACUAGUUGAUGAUUGGUAGCUACCUAUCCUUUAAUUUUCCACACAACAAGACCAUUCAGUAAUAUUGGCUCUAUAUCUCCACUUGUUUGCCCACACCGUGGUUUAGCUGAAAAAACAGUGUACUGGAGGUGGAACAUGUUUUAAUAACAUUAAUAUGUAGAUAUUAUUAUUUAUGCAUUGAACCCUGUAUUGAUAAAAAUUCCACAUAGGUUACUUUAUUUGUCAUUUAUGCUUGAAUAUAUAAAUACAAAACAGUGUUUUUUCUUAUUAAAAUAGGGGGAUUUUAGGCUAGCUUUUGUUAUUCUAAUUAUACCCUUAAAUAAAUAAAAAAUCAAAUAAUGUAAUAUUGUUGGUAUAAUUAAAAAAAUAAGAAUUUUUGUUAUAUUAUUGUUGUCAUUGAGUAAGAUAAAUAUGGUUUGUUGAGUUUGUUACAUUUGAAAGUCACAUAUAUUUAUACUUAUAAUUUUAAUCUAUAUCAAAGAGUUUAUAUAAAAUAUCGGUUGUAAUUUACACGCAAAAUUUCUAUAAAUUAUCGUAGAUAAUCUAUACACGUUAACGUAUUAAAAAGAGUAGAAAGAUGCGCAUGUGACUGCCCGUAUUUUGGUCCCUUAACUUCUCUCUCUUACACAUUUUGGUCCUUUCCAUUAGUUUAAUUCAAAAACGUUGAAUUUUCUUCAUCUUCUUCUCCUCUUUUUCAUCUUCAUAUCAUCUCCAUCAACCUUCAACAACAAGAAUCCCAAAAAAAAUUAUAGAAGAAAAUGAAGAAAACCUAACGUUUUUGAAUUAAAACUAACGGAAAUGGCCAAAAUGUGUAACAGAGAGAAGUUAUGAGACCAAAAUAAAUCGAAUUUUAAUUAAGGGAUCAAAGCGAUACUACCUAAAUAGUUAAGGGACCAAAAAUGCAAUUUAGCCUAUAAUCUAAUAUCAUCGUUAUUAAAUAUUAUUUUAUAAUCUAAUAUCAUUGUUAUUAAAUUUUAUAGCAAGUAUCAAACGAAGAACCGAGAGUUGUUGUUUGAUAUUGUUAUUUAAUCAUGUCUCGUAUAUCAAAGGAAGGAUCGAGAGGUAAAAUUUGAUAUUGGAAUAAAUGAGAUUGUAAACGAUAAGCAAAAUAUGAGAAAAAUUUUGUGACUCUUAUGACAAUAAGGUUAUAAGGUUGCACUCAAAAAGUUUUAAUGAUUAUCAACUAUGAGAAUAGGUUUAAUUACUGUUGAGAUACAUUCAUGUAAUCUGAUAGGAAACAUGAAAUAUCAAAGAACAUCUUGUCCUUAGAAACGAAUAGAGAAAUAUAUAGGGAAUGUUUAGAAUUUAACUUUAUGAUGAAAACCUCAAUCUCAUGACGCAUUUUAAUAUCUGAAUUUUAAUCUAAAAAAUCAUUGCACUUAAUCAACUUAUCUUUUUCAGCUAAUCAAGACUAAAAAUUAGAUUAGAAUUUACUUUAAGUCCAUGUGAAUCGAUAUUUUACUAGAACCGUACACUUGCAGAAACCUAUCAAAGACCCUAUUGAUGUAUAUGGAAUCGUAGUUACCUAUCAAAGCUACAAAAUUUAGAUCGGACUUGGGGGUCUUUCUAACCGUUCUUGAAGUCGUAGGGGGGUUCGUUUACCGGAUGUAGCAUCGAAGGCUUGAGUGCAGAGUUCGAAGGGGUGCACAAGUAUUCAAGGAUCCGAAGAUUCAAGAAGCACCAAAUUUAAGGGUUACUUGGAGUUUGGGGGAGUGUUUUACAUAGGAGUUGAAGAAUUAGGUUUUAAUUUCAAGGAACUCUUGUAAACACAUUGUAUUCAACAUUUGUUACAUGGUGGAUGAUCUCGGUGAAGAUGUACUUAAUCAAGAAGAGUAGAGGUAGAUCUAGAGAGGACGAGAAAGAGCAAUCUAUUAUAAAAAUAUCGGUGUGAUCUCUCUUUCCCUAUCCUCUUUACUUUUAGAUAUUGCAUGUGAUUAAUUGAAUAAUUUUUAGGAUAAUUUCUAGUGUUGAUCUAAGUUGUUUUUCAUUGAAAAUCAAUCUAAUUCAUUGAAUUAGGUUUCAUAUAAUUUGCUUAGAUCAAUUGAAUGCAAAAUCUAUUCAAUUCUUCAAUUACACAUGUAUUGUGUUUUUUAUUUGAUAACUUAGUAAUUUUGUUCAUAUAGAUUUGGUUUGAAAUUGUCUAUUGUUUUAUACAUUGUUCAAGGAAUAUUAAAGUUUGAUUGUAUAAUAACAUUUAGUAACAAGGUGAUUGCAACACUUGAAAAAUUGUUAGCUGAUAUAGUGAUAUAGUAACAAUUGAGUAAAAGUGUUAGAUCCAAUACAACAAGUACCAUCCCUAAAAAAAAAACAAAAAUACAAGUAACAAUAGAACUCAUUCGUUAUUCAUUCACGUGUUAAAAAAUUUAGCUGAAAAAACAGUGUACUGGAGGUGGAACCUGUUUUAAUAACAUUAAUAUAUAGAUAUUAUUAUAUAUGCAUUGAACCCUGUAUGAUUUAUUGAUAAAAAUUCCACAUUACGUUAUUUGUCAUUUAUGCUUGAAUAUAAAAAUACAAAACAGUGUUUUUUCUUAUUAAAUUUUUUAAUUAAUUUAUAAAGACUUUUAAUAACUUAGUGUUUACCAAUUGCACUCAUUAAUUCUUAAUUAUAGAAUAAUUGUAAACCCAUUUUAGAUCCUCCAAAAAUGAAGAAAGCUCAUUCUUAGGACAACACAAAAUGGAAGAAACUCAAGAUUGUUGGCAUAUUGGUAGACUAUUUCUGUUUGACAAAUUCAAUAAUCUAGUUUAUAGUUUAUAAGUCCGAAUGAUUAAAAAAUAUAUGUUUCAUAACUGUUUUUUCAUCACAAGUUUUAUAGUUUAUUUUAUUAGUUUGUAGGUUUUUUUUUAGACUUUAUUCCAAAUGUGGAAUAACGUUUGAGAUUAUAGUUUAUCCUUUAUAAUCUAUAUUAUAUAUAAUGAAAAUAGGGGGAUUUUAGGCUAUCUUUUUUGUUAUUCUAAUUAUAUCCUUAAAUAAAAAGAAAUCAAAUAAUGUAAUAUUGUUGGUGUAAUUAAAAAAAUAAGAAUUUUUGUUAUAUUAUUGUUGUCAUUGAGAAAGAUAAAUAAAUAUAGUUUGUUGAGUUUGUUACAUUUGAAAGUCACAUAUAUUUAUACUUAUAAUUUCAAUCUAUAUCAAAGAGUUUAUAUAAAAUAUCGGUUGUAAUUUACAAGCAGAAUUUCUAUAAAUUAUCAUAGAUAAUCUAUACACGUUCACGUAAUAAAAAAAAGCAGAAAGAUGCGCACGUAAAUGCCCGUCUUUGCACUAGUUUAUUAUAAAAAAAAUGCUAAAAUGUUCAGUUCUUUUGGUCAUACUGCACAAAUUAUUUGGUAGCUUGACAUAUAUGUUACUGAUGUAAACUUCACUCUCACUUUAAUUAUGUUACUCCACAGUCCUCUAAAAUUGUGUUUCUCUUUUUUCCCUAAAACUUCUCUUUUGGAUUAUUCAAUCCGAAUUAAGUUGUUUCUGGUUUGAAAUAUAUAAUUUGAACUGCUUCUAUAUAUGUUUUCUCUUUAUUUUGUGGCUAUUUAUUAAUUGUGUGUAUAUCUGAUUUUAACACUUUCAAAUAUUGAUCGCAUGGGCUGUGUUAGGAAUGAUAGAAUUUCCUUGACUGCAUCUUCUAGGUGAGAGCAGACGUAGAAGAAUGUACUAGAAAGGAGAGUGGUCAAGGGCAGGGGCAUGGUCCGCAAUGCUGAGACGCAGAGAGGUCGUCAGUUCCUAGACAUUAGUGGAAGUUUAGGGCGCAUCGGGGAACAUGUCAGAAAUAUUUAACUUUUUUAGUGAAUAUUUUUUUAAUUUAAAAUUUUUAAAGAGUGUCUCGAAGAUACUCGUUGGCAAGACUGAUAAGUUGUAGUUAAUGGUGUUUUUAACAUUUAAAUUCAAUAAUAUUUACGUUGUUUUAGUUUUAAUUUAGAUUCAUUUUACUGGAAAGCAUUAGUUUUUGUUUUCAUAAUCAAAAAUUUGAAGAACAGUGUACCUGGAUCAAGAGCGAGGAUAAAGAGCCAUAAAGCAACAACAUGGAUUGUUCGUGGUUCCAUCUGGGUUGUGCACUUCUUAAAAUGUCAGAAUUUCAAAAGUUGAAGUACAAGCACGACCGUGCCCCCCAACACCGUAGAAAUAAGCAUGAUUGUGCGCUUCAGAAGCACGACUUUGCACCCCUCAAAACAUGUCAAAAGUUGGAAAGGUGAUCAUGACCGUGUACCCUUGAAGCAUGACUGUGCACCCUUGAAGCACGACCGUGCGUCUUGUGCAGAGAAAAUAGUUGUUACAACCUUUUAGAAUUCUUUAGUUUAUGGCUUGUAACUCGUUUUUAAUAUAUUAUAUGAGGCUCUAGGCUAUAAAUAUACCUCACUUCUAAGGAAAAAAGAAUCUUAGAUACUUGUAAACUUACUCUAAAGUUGAAAACAUAAUUUUGCAAUGUUCUAAGUUCUUUGUUCUUUAUUUUUCAUUUCUUUACAUUUGUGUUCUUUACUCUUCUGUUCUUUACAUUUUAAGUUAUUUACUUUCAUGUCUUUUACUUUCUUGUCUUUAUAUAUUAAUCAUUCGUCUACUAUGAGAGAGAGAGAGAGAGAGAGAGAGAGAGAGAGAGAGAGAGAGAGAGAGAGAGAGAGAGAGAGAGAGAGAGAGAGAGAGAGAGAGAGAGAGAGAGAGAGAGAGAGAGAGGUGAUAUUAGUGCAGAACACAUAGCAAAAGAGAAUGAAAAAAGAAGAUCCCGAUCCUUUUCUAAAGGAGAAUCAACCAUCUAUAUAACGACAAAUUUAAACCCAUCAAGUACAAAAAAACGAUCAAGGUAAAAAAUAUAAACGGAACAUUGAACAAUUUUAUUAAAUUAUAAUAAACUUCAAAGGGUAAAAUUGGUUUUUAGAUAAACAUAUAAGGGGUUACCAAAUAGGGUUACAAGUUAUAAGCUUGUGAAGAAAACGUCUUGGUUGACUUCAAUGACUAAAGUAACUAAGACCAAAGAGUGAAUGAUUUAAUUCGGAUUUUAUCUAAGUCAUUGACCAAAAUUACAUCUUGUUACACUUUUAAGGAGAAAAAUGGUUGUUUUCUCAAUAAUGUUUUCCAAUAUUAAAUUAAUGUUGUUUUCUGCCUUAGGGAUGUUACCAAUUUGUUAUGUUGGAGUUACCUUUAGUGCUAAGAAACCUUUAGACCAAUAAAAAUAUUUUGAGUCCCUUUUAAAGUGGUAAAUACACUAAUAUAAAGUCAUUGUCAAUUGAUGUUAGGACUAUUUAUUAAUAAUGCAAUAUUUACUUGUUGUUCUUUGGUAGACACUUAAGGUGCGUUUGAUUUGUUAAAAAAUGAAGGACAGAACAACUCUAGUUGUCCAGUGUUUGAUUUGUAAAACUGUUUUAGGUACAAGACAAUUUGGAGGCAAGGGACAGGACAAAAACUCAUUUUUGUCCCUCACCAACCCACAACACAACUUUUUGUCCCACGUACAAGUUGUCUAAAAUACCAAAAUAGCAUUUUGUCCCUCAAAAAUCGUAUAAAACAAAAAAUUACUCAAUGCCAUAAAAAAUUUGUCCUGUCUUGUUCUGCCUUGUGUUGUACUGUUCUAUCUUGUACUGUUUUGUCCGGUACUUGCUGUUUUGCAAACCAAACACACCCUUAGAGGUCAUUUUUGUGGACUGUAGGUACCUAAAGCUCUAUGAACUUGGUUAUAUCAUAGAUAACGUCGUAUUGGAAAAACGGAAAUGAAAGACUCAUCUCUCACUCUACUUAGGGCUAGCCAAUUGUCAAACGCCAAUUGUCAAACUUGGUUACAAUUAAUUUUUUUUGGAAAACUUAUUUUGAAUUUUCUACAUGUCAUGAAAAAUUCAAAUUUCUGUUUUCUGAUUAGAAGAUCAAUAAACGGUUCAAUAUCAUCACAAUCUCCAAAUCAUAACUUCAUUCAUUUGCAAAUCUAGAGCACAUAUAUCACGAUUUUCUAUCAUGAUUUGCAUUGAUAUAAGUAAGUAUAACACAUAUAUUUUACUCUUAACUUAGCCAUACAUUGCGGAUUUACUUAGUAGAUAGAGUAAUGUUUUUUUUUAAACAACAAAUUUUAUUCAUAAGCUAACCCAACACAAGAAGUGAAGAGGCUAGAGGAAACACACAAGACAACAGAUACAUAAAGACAACUAAACCACCCAAACAAUCCUUAAUACAAUAGAAUAACAUCAGAAAAACCAGCCACCUAAACUUCCUAGUACCAUGAAACAAUGUCAGGUCGCGUUGAUUUUUAGGCUGGAGGGCAAUGUUUGUUUCGGAAGUUCUCGACUUUCUUCAACAAAGGGUAGUGCUUUUUGCAGAAAUCGGGUAUAUGGGGUAUAUGUACUGGUUUAUCUUUUGGGAUUAAAUUUUUGAUUUUUGGGAUUAAUGCUUCAACUGCGGGACCAAAGCUAACAGCAUCAGCAAAAUGUUGUUGAGGAGCAAGCAUAAAAGCAGCAAGGAAUAACACUAAUAAGGAUAAGAAAAAUGAAUUAGCCAUUUUAAGAAGUGAUAUAAUUAUUAGUGUUGGUGCAUAAUACAUAUGGAGUAUACUGGUUUUAUACUAGUUAGAGACUCAAUGUGAGUUUAUGGUCGAUCUAAGUCAUUUACUAAAUGUCAAAAUUGUGUAUGAAUUGAAUUAUUCAACAAUGUUACAAGUUCCAUGUAGUUGCUACUAGUUUAUGAAUUGAAUUAUUCAUUCGAUUCUCCGCGCGACUCAGGUGCAUGCCGAAACCGUUUUAAUUAUAUGAGCAAAUUAAUAAAUAAAUGGGUUGGUGCUUAUGAUGGUGCUAAGCGUUUGCAAGGAAGCGGUUGGUCGAAAGAUGAUGUUUUGGAAAAAGCCCAUGAAUUAUAUGUGAAACACCCCGUUUUCCCAACUUGAAUUUUUUUGCAUAAAUCAGAGUAAAACAACUAAACAGGAUGCUGCACUUCUUUCAAAUCUGAAUAUAGUAAAAUUACUAAUUAUCUCAAUCAUCAAAUUAAAUCUUAUUGCAGCGGAAAUUAGUUCAACGUUUAAAACAACCUUGGCACAAAGGCCUCAAUGUAAAAUCUCAUAAAAUUAUUCCAACAACAUGUUCAUAAAACUUCAUAAAAUAAUACGUAAGGAACGUAAAGCAACAACAAAAUUCUCAUCCCGUUACGUAUCAGAGCACCUAAGACACACGUGAGAGAAUCCACUCACGACCGCAACUAUUCUUGGUUACCUGCAAGUUACUCAAUUGUGAGGGCAACAUUUCCAAGCAGAAGGGGUGAGAUUUCACAUUCAAUAAUAAUAAGCAUAUAAUUCAUCAAAUUCAUUUAACAACUUAAACUUCAUCAAUUAGUAACACUAACUCUUCGCAUAAAUACUUCAUUAAUUAAUAACAUUAACUCUUCCUAUAAGACUUCAUUAAUAACUCAAUCAACUUCUAAUCAUCAUUAACUUCAUAUUCAUCACAUUAUAUACAACGUCAUACAGCACGUAAUAAUCAAAUCAUAAACAUCAUCAUAUAAAAACCUAAUCAUCACAUCAUAAACAUCAUCUUAUAACAUCAUAUAGUUCACAUCAUAAACAUCAUCAUAUAACAACAUAAACAUCACAACAUAAACAUGAAAUAAGGUUAUAAGGUUGCACUCAAAAAGUUUUAGUGAUAGUCAACUAUGAGAAUAGGUCUAAUUACUGUUGAGAUACAUUCAUGUAAUCUUAUAGGAAACAUGAAAUACCAAAGAACAUCUUGUCCUUAGAAAUGAAUAGAGAAAUAGAUAUGGAAUGUUUAGGAUUUAACUUUAUGAUGAAAACCGCAAUCUCAUGACGCAUUUUUAUAUCUAAAUUUUAAUCAAAAAAAAUAAUUGCACUUAAUCAAUUUAUUUUUUUCAGCUAAUCAAAACUAAAAAUUAGAUUAGUAUUUACUUAAAGUCCAUGUGAAUCGAUAUUUUACUAGAACCGUACACUUGCGUAAACCUAUCAAAGACCCUAUUGAUGUAUAUGGAAUCGUAGUUACCUAUCAAAGCUACAAAAAAAAUUAGAUCGGAAUUGGGGUCUUUCUGACCAUUCUUGAAGUCGAAGGGGGUUCGUUUACUGGAUGUAGCAUCGAAGGCUUGAGUGAAGAGUUCGAAGGGGUGCACGGGUAUUCAAGGAUCUGAAGAUUCAAGAAGCACCAAAUUUAAGGGUUACUUGGAGUUUGGGGGAGUGUUUUACAUAGGAGUUGAAGAAUUAGGUUUUAAUUUCAAGGAACUUUUGUAAACACAUUUGUAUUCAACUAUUAUAAAAAUAUCGGUGUUAUCUCUCUUUCCCUAUCCUCUUUACUUUUAGCUAUUGCAUGUGAUUAAUUGAAUAAUUUUUAGAAUAAUUGCUAGUGUUGAUCUAAGUUAUUUUUCAUUGAAAAUCAAUCUAAUUCAUUGAAUUAGGUUUCAUAUAAUUUGCUUAGAUCAAUUGAUUGAAAAAUCUAUUCAAUUCUUCAAUUACACAUGUAUUGUGUUUUUGAUUUGAUAACUUAGUAAUUUUGUUCAUGUAGGUUUGGUUUGAAAUUGUCUAUUGUUUUGUACAUUGUUCAAGGAAUAUUAAAGUUUGAUUGUAUAAUAAGAUUUGUAUCGUGAAUCUCUCAAUUCUAAGAUUAAGUCUCAUUGCACAUAUAUUUGACCUUUUGAUUCCUUGAUUGUCAUUGUUCGACCACGAAUCCAAUAGUCAAUUUUGUUGAGAGAGAGAGAGAGAGAGAGAGAUUGGAUGGACGGGUGAUAUUAGUGCAGAACACAGCAAAAGAGAAUCGAAAAAAGAGGAUCUUGAUCCUUUUCUAAAGGAGAAUCAACCAUCUAUAUAAUGACAAUUUUAAACCCAUCAAGUACAAAAAUAACGAGCAAGGUGAAAAUAUAAACGUAACAUUGAACUAUUUUAUUAAAUGAUAAUAAACUUCAAAGGGUAAAAUUGGUUUUUAGAUAAACAUAUAAGGGGUUACUAAAAAGGGUUACAAGUUUUUUUUUUUUUUUGAAAGAAGGGAUACAAAUUAUAAGCUUGCGAAGAAAAGACGGUUAUCAAACACAGCCUAUGCAGCUCAUGAAGCUGCCAUAAAAAUUUUAAUAGUGGGGGAUGUUUAAUGAAGAUUAGUAGUAGUGUUACGUUAUUCAUGGAGCUAUAGUUAUAAAUAAUUUUAAAGUGGGUAAUGUUUAUUGAAGAUAGGGAGAUCGAAGCGGAAAUGCUGAAAAAUGAUGAUGGAAAAAUAUAAAUCGAUAUUAUCUUUUAUUUUAGUCAGAAUUUAAAUUUGGUAUUUUUCAGUAUCCAUGUCGGCGAUUUUGACUAAUUUUGAUUAAGUAAACGUCUUAGUUGACUUCAAUGACUAAAGUAACUAAGAACAAAGAGUGAAUGAUUUAAUUCGGGUUUUAUCUAAGUCAUUGACCAAAAUUACAUCUUGUUACACUUUUAAGGAGAAAAAUGGUUGUUUUCCCAAUAAUGUUUUCCAAUAUUAAAUUAAUGUUGUUUUCUGCCUUAGGGAUGUUACCAAUUUGUUAUGUUGGAGUUACCUUUAGUGCUAAGAAACCUUUAGACCAAUAAAAAUAUUUUGAGUCCCUUUUAAAGUGGUAAAUACACUAAUAUAAAGUCAUUGUCAAUUGAUGUUAGGACUAUUUAUUAAGAAUGCAAUAUUUACUUGUUGUUCUUUGGUAGACACUUAGAGUUCAUUUUUGUGGACUGUAUGAACUUGGUUAUAUCAUAGUUAACGUCGUAUUAGACAAACGGAAAUGAAAGACUCAUCUCUCACUCUACUUAGGACUAGCCAAUUGUCAAACUUGGUUACAAUUUAUUUUGUUUGGAAAACUUAAUUUGAAUUUUCUACAUGUCAUGAAAAAUUCAAAUUUCUGUUUUCUGAUUAGAAGAUCAAUAAACGGUUCAAUAUCAUCACAAUCUCCAAAUCAUAACUUCAUUCAUUUGCAAAUCUAGAGCACAUAUAUCACGAUUUUCUAUCAUGAUUUGCAUUGAUAUAAGUAAGUAUAACACAUAUAUUUUACUCUUAACUUAGCCAUACAUUGCGGAUUUACUUAGUAGAUAGAGUAAUGUUUUUUUUUAAACAACAAAUUUUAUUCAUAAGCUAACCCAACACAAGAAGUGAAGAGGCUAGAGGAAACACACAAGACAACAGAUACAUAAAGACAACUAAACCACCCAAACAAUCCUUAAUACAAUAGAAUAACAUCAGAAAAACCAGCCACCUAAACUUCCUAGUACCAUGAAACAAUGUCAGGUCGCGUUGAUUUUUAGGCUGGAGGGCAAUGUUUGUUUCGGAAGUUCUCGACUUUCUUCAACAAAGGGUAGUGCUUUUUGCAGAAAUCGGGUAUAUGGGGUAUAUGUACUGGUUUAUCUUUUGGGAUUAAAUUUUUGAUUUUUGGGAUUAAUGCUUCAACUGCGGGACCAAAGCUAACAGCAUCAGCAAAAUGUUGUUGAGGAGCAAGCAUAAAAGCAGCAAGGAAUAACACUAAUAAGGAUAAGAAAAAUGAAUUAGCCAUUUUAAGAAGUGAUAUAAUUAUUAGUGUUGGUGCAUAAUACAUAUGGAGUAUACUGGUUUUAUACUAGUUAGAGACUCAAUGUGAGUUUAUGGUCAAUCUAAGUCAUGUACUAAAUGUCAAAAUUGUGUAUGAAUUGAAUUAUUCAACAAUGUUACAUGUUCCUUCCAUGUAUUUGCUACUAGUUGAUGAUCAGUCCCUACCUAUCCUUUAAUUUUCCACACAACAAGACCAUUCAGUAAUAUUGGCUCUAUCUCUCCACUUGUUUGCCCACCAUGGUUUAGCUGAAAAAACAGUGCAACUUGUUUCAAUAACAUUAAUAUAUAUAGAUAUUACUAUUUAUAUAUGCAUUGAACCCUGUAUGAUUUAUUUAUUUAUAAAAAUUCCAAAUAGGUUACUUUAUUUGUCAUUUAUGCUUGAAUAUGAAAAUACAAAACAGUGUUUUUUCUCAUUAAAAUUUUUACUAUAAAGAUUUUUAAUAACUUAGUGUUUACCAAUUGCACUUACUAAUUCUUAAUUAUAGAAUGAUGAUUAAAAAUUGUAUGUUUCAUAACUGUUUUUCAUCACAAGUUUAUAGUUCACUUCUCAGACGUUAUUCCAAAUAACGUUUGAGAUUAUAGGUUAUCAUUUUAAUUUCAUGUUUACCUUUAUUAUUUUGUUUAAGAUUUAUUUUUAUCCUUUUUAAUAUAUACUAUUUAUAAAGAAAAUAUAGGGAUUUUGGGCUGACUUUUUUGUUAUUCCAAUUAUACCUUUAAAUAAAAAAAAAUCAAAUAAUGUGAUAUGGUUGGUGUUAAUAAAAAGAUAAGAAUUUUUGUUAUAUUAUUGUUGUCAUUGAGAAUCAUAAAUAUUGUUUGUUGAGUUUGUUACAUUUGAAAGUCACAUAUCAUACUUUUAAUUUUUGUCUAUAUCAAAAAAUUUAUAUAAAAUAUCGUUUGUAAUUUACACGCAGAAUUUCAAUAAAUUAUCGUAAAUAAUUUAUACACAUUAACGUAAUAAAAAGAGCAGAAAGAUGAACAUGUGAAUGCUCGUCUUUUCGCUAGUUUAUUAUAAAGAAUAUGCUAAAUGUUUGGUUCUUUUGUCAUACUACACAAAUUAUUUGGUAGCUUUAUAUAUAUGUUACUAAUGUUAAUUUCACUCUCACUUUAAUUAUGUUACUCCAGAGUCCCUCUGAAAUAAUGUUUCUCUUUUUGCCCUAAAACUUCUCUCUUGCCAUCCAAAAUUUAAAACUCCCAUAUUAUAUGAUUCAUGAAGAUUUUUUGCUUCAAAACAUUGAUCAGGUCUUUUCAAACACGGACAACAAGGUAGGGUAUCAUUCCUUCCCUUUAGUGUUAUUUGAAUCUUUUUUUUUUUUCUUCUGUAAACUAAAACCUUAUAGAUUAUAUAAUAAUCUGAAUCAAGUUGUUCCUGGUUUGGAUUAUAUAAUUUGACAUGCUUCUAUAUAUAUGUUGUUUUGUUAUUUUGUGGAUAUUUUUUUAUUUUUUUUAGACAAAAGAGGAAUUAAAUUAAAAUAGAAAAGGAGGUAUAAGAUUGGGGGCAAUGACCUGACCAGUAAACCACAAAAUCAAAAUACAACAAUUUCAGUACAAAGUGGUAUACAACGAACACAACCCUAAACAAUCACUACUACGGACAAUUCAGCGAACCCACGUAUGAGCGCCAAACCGAAUUGCAAAAAAAACGUAGAGUGAGUAUUCAGAACUUCUAAAUAGGCGUAUGGAUCGACUGCCAACACAAAAACGAUCCAAGAUCAAGCAGCUCCCAUCAAAUAUCAGCAAGCAAUAAACGCCCUUUCGGGCCAACCAUUCCAGUCGUAGUUCAGUUCGAGGGAUGAACAAACGACAUAAAUGUAAAGCAGUCCACUGACAACGCAUAAAGCAACCGUAGCAGAUAAAGUCCUGCAGGUACGACAUCAACAACUAUCGUCAACCAGAGCGUCUACGCACUUAGCCCUUUCGUGCAUAUCAGGCGAAACAAGUCUUGUUGAAUCCAGAUCGAGGGAUGGUAUCCAACCAAACAUCGCACAAAUGAACAGAACCAUAACCAAAUCUUAAAUCCAGACAAACCAAAUUCAAAAUUUCAACUAAACCGGAUAGCCAGAAUAAGACCACCACCAAUCUUCAUCUUCCCGAAACAACAUAAAACACCAUUCGAUUCUUCAUGGUCUUCUUCUUUCAAACUAGUGCGUCUUCCUGGAACCGCCAUUGAUGUGAAAUUCGACUAUCUUUGCCGCCGCUUCAACUUCAAACUACUAUGCCAUUGACGCUUUUAAUUUAGUGGGAGAAAAAAGAAAAAGAUCGAAAUGAAAGUAGAAGAAGAAGGUUUGGUGUGUGUUUUUGAAGAAGAAGACGAAGAAAAAAAAAAGUUUGUGUUGUUACGUGUGAGAGGGUGUGGUGGUAAGCUUGUAUAUGAGAGAGAAAUAUAUGUCUAGAGUUUUGAUGUCUAAAGAAGACCACAAUUAAUGUGACAUUGGAAAAUGAAAGGGUGGAUGCAUGGGUACCAAAAUCUCAUAAUUAUUUGUUGGAAGAUGCAUAAGGAAGAGAGAGUUAUCCCCAAUAAAUGAGAGUGGGGAAUAGUUGAAAGAAGUGGCUUUUACAAAGUAGAAUGCUGAUUAGAAUUAACAAUUAAGUGUAGAUGAUCAACGGUUGAUGUUGAAUGGCGCCUAAAUGAUGAUCAGCAUCCAAUGGCUUGCAAAAUUGGAGAGAAAAAUGAGGGGGGAAAAUUAGGGUUAAGGAUAGCUUCGGGGGAUAAGCUUUAGUAAGUAAGAUUGUCUUAUAUACUUACAUUAUUUUAGGUCUAAAUUUCAGAAACCAUUAUUUGACAAUUUUUUUGACAAUUUUAUCUCACAUACUCACAUUAUAUUUUUACUUCUCUUUUUGUUGUUUUGGUUUUUAUUUUCAUACCUAAUUUUCCUUGUAAAUCUAUAGUUGUCUCAUAAAUUAUCGUUAAAAUUGUUGUUCAAAUAACACAACUCUUAUUUCUAAUACUCAAAAUUUGUUCAAAUUAAGUUUUUAAAGAACUUCUAAUAAAGUCAGAUUAAAGUUUUUUUGAACUUUUUAAAUACUUAAAUUGAAUUUUCUCCAAUAUACAUAUUAGAGAAAGAAAAAAAAUAAUGAUAGGAGGGAGAUGCAAAACUUAUGUUUUCUUUCUCUAGAAACAUAUUUUGAGUUUUCAAUAUCAUCAAAAUCUCAAAAUCAUAAACUUUAUUUAUUUGCAAAUCUAGAGCACAUAUAGCGCGAUUUUCUCUCAUAAUUUACAUUGAUAUAACACAUAUUAUGUUCUUACCUUGCCCAAACAUUCGGGAUUUAAUUGAUGAUGUAAAAGACGUUUUUAAAUGUAGAAUAAGAAAGAUGGAAAACCUCCAAGCCAAAUUAUACACAAGAUAUACAAAUUAUACACAAAAAUUUCAAAUUUCAAUUUUCUCGAGAGUAUUCUUAAAUGAUCAAUCAAUGAUUCAAUAUAAUCACAAUCUCAAAAUCAUAAACUUUAUUUAUUUUCAAAUCUAGAGCACAUAUAGCGGGAGGAGAUUGUCUCGUGUGAUUUUUCUCUCAUGUGUAAUCCAGACCCUCCAUUAAAUAUGUGAGAUAAUGUGUUUGUAAUAUAAAAUGACCGAACGCAAGAUAAAUUGUUUUUUUCUAAACAAUAAAUUUUAUUCAUAAGCAUUCCCGUGAGCUUAGCUCAGUUGGUACGGAUAUUGCAUUUUAUAUGCAGGGGCUGAGGUUCGAACCCCAGACACCCCACUUCUCCACAAUUAAAUUGUGUGAGCUCUAACCACUAGACUACUUGACCAAGAAAAAAAGAAAUAUUCAUAAACUAACCCAACACAACACAAGAAGUGAAGAGGCUAUAGAGGAAAGACACAGGGUAACAAUACAUAAAGACAACUAAACCAAGGCUAAAAAGCCACAACACAUGUAAAUGGCUUAUCACAGCAGAAAACAAGGUAUAUCAAUAUCAUGUGUGACUACAAAACCGCCCAAACAACCCUUAAUACAAUAGAAUCACAGCAGAAAACACCCUUAGUAGAUAUUGAUAUGCCUUGCCGCGUUGAUGUUUUAGAAAUGUGCAGGUGGAGGGCAAUUACUGGGUCGGUUAUGCCCGUUUUUCCUCGAGCAGGGAUUUAAUGAGGGCUUUUGGGAUGGUUUAGGACGAGGGAAAGGUACUGGUUUGGAUGGAGUGAAAUGGGGUAAAUGCUUUAUGAUUCCUGGAGGGAGAUGUAUGGCAUCAACAGCAAAAUGUUGAGGAACAAACAUAAGAGCAGCAAGGAAUAACACUAAUAAGGAUAAGAAAAAGGAUUUAGCCAUUUUAAGAAGUGAUAUAAUUAUUAGUGUUGGUGCAUAAUACAUAGGGAGUUAAACUGGUUUUAUACUAGUUAGAGACUCAAUGUGAGUCUAUCGUCAAUCAAAGUUAAAAUUGUGCACGAAUUGAAUUAUUCAACAAUGUUACAAGUUCCAUGUAUUUGAUACUAGCUGAUGAUCAUUUAGUAUUAUUGGCUCUAUCUCUCCACUUGUUUGCGCACAUGGUUUACCUGAAAAAACAGUGUACUGGAGGUGCAACUUGUUUUAAUAGCAUUUUUUGUUGAGCACAUCAUGAGACAACACCGACAUCCUAACUAGAUUAGUAUUUCAGGACGCCUCCGUCCUAUGCCUGCCAAUCUCUAAAUUUUAUUAAAAAAGGGUAAAAAUAUAUACAAGGAGAGUGAGGACUAGGCCAAAAUCCUCAAUGAAAAAACCAAAGGAAACAAUAAAAAAUAAAGCCUACUGAAAUCUAUAAUUGGGUGAGCCAAUUCUGUCUCUAUAGAAGUCGAAAUGCAACUCUGCACGAAGCGUGUCUAACCAAACAGAACCCUGAAUAUCAUGACCCUCGGACAUUCCAAUAUAACAUCAUUGGGAAGAUGGAGGAAGACCACUCUUUCCAAGGAUUUGAUAAUGCGGCUUUCCGAAGACUUACUUCUUCAUAUUUAACGCGGCUUUUUUGAGAGAACUUGCGUAAAUCCUUUCUUUACGGCCCGUUGAUCGUAUUCUUUGAUUCUGGCCCAUAAAUCCAAGUCAUUCUGUACGUUUUUGCUAGUGUUUUAAUAACAUUAAUAUAUAGAUAUUACUAUUUAUAUAUGCAUUGAACCUGUAUGAUUUAUUUAUAAAAAUUCCAAAUAAAUUACUUUAUUUGUCAUUUAUGCUUGAACAUAAAAAUACAAAACAUUGUUUUUUCUCAUUAAAAAAUUUAAUUAAUUUAUAAAGCUUUUUAAUAAAUUAGUGUUUACCAAAUUGCACUCAUUAAUUCUUAAUUAUUGAAUGAUUGUAAACUCAUUUUAGAACCUCCAAAAAUGAAGAAAGCUCAUUCUUAGGACAACACAAAAUGGAAAACACUCAAGAUUGUUGGCAUAUUGGUAGACUAUUUCUAUCUGACAAAUUCAAUAAGCUAGUUUAUAGUUUAUAAGUCCGAAUGAUUAAAAAAUGUAUGUUUCAUAACCGUUUUUUCAUCACAAGUUUUAUAGUUUAUUUUAUUAGUUUGUAGCUUAUUUUUUAGACGUUAUUUUAAAUAACGUUUGAGAUUAUAGUUUAUCAUUUUUAUUUGUGUUUACCUUUAUUAUUCUGUUUAAGAUUUAUUUUUAUCCUUCAUAAUCUAUACUACUACCGUUUAUUCUGUUUGACAUUAUAGUUUAUUUUUAUUUGUAGUAUAUAUAAAGAAAAUAGGGGGAUGUUAGGCUAGCUUUUUUGUUACUCUAAUUAUACCCUAAAAUAAAUAAAAAGUCAAAUAAUAUUAUAUUGUUGGUGUUAUUAAAAAGAUAAGAAUUUUUGUUAUAUUAUUGUUGUCAUUGAGAAAGAUAAAUAUGGUUUAUUGAGUUUGUUACAUUUGAAAGUCACAUAUAUUUAUACUUGUAAUUUUAAUCUAUAUCAAAGAGUUUUUAUAAAAUAUAGGUUGUAAUUUACACGCAGAAUUUCUAUAAAUUAUCGUAGAUAAUCUAUACACGUUAACGUAGUAAAAAGAGAAGAAAGAUGCGCACGUGAGUGCCCGUCUUUUCACUAGUUUAUUAUAAAGAAAAUGUUAAAAUGUUCAAUUAUUUUGGUCAUACUGCACGAAUUAUUUGGUAGCCUGGCAUAUAUGUUACUAAUGUUAAUUUCACUCUCACUUUAAUUAUGUUACUCCACAGUCCUCUAAAAUCGUGUUUCUCUUUUUGCCCUAAAACUUCUCUUUUAUGUUACUCCACAAUCCUCUAAAAUCGUGUUUCUCUUUUUGCCCUAAAACUUCUCUUUUUGAUUAUUCAAUCCGAAUCAAGUUGAUCUGGUUUGGAUUAUAUAAUUUGAACUGCUUUUAUAUAUGUUGUUUCUUUAUUUUGUGGAUAUUUGUUAAUUGUUUGUACAUCUGAUUUUAACACUUUCAAAUAUUGACCGCAUGGGCUGUGUUAGGAACGAUAGAAUUUCCUUGACUGCAUCUUCUAGGUGAGAGCGUAUGUAGAAGAAUGUAGUGGAAAGGAGAGUGGUCAAGGGCAUGGGCAUGGGCCGCAAUGCUGAGACGCAGAGAGGUCGUCAGUUCCUAGACAUUAGUGGACAGUUACGGCGCAUCGAGGAACAUGUCAGAAGUAUUUAACUUUUUUAGUGAAGAUUUUUUUAAUUUAGAAUUUUUAAAGAGUGUCUCGAAAACACUCAUUAGCAAGACUGAUAAGUUGUAGUUUAUGGUGUUUUUAUCAUUUAAAUUCAAUAAUAUGUACGUUGUUUUAGUUUUAAUUUAGAUUCAUUUUACUGGAAAACAUUAGUUUUUAUUUUCAUAAUCAAAAUUAUGAAGAACAUUAUACCUAGAUUAAGAGCGAGGAAAAAGAGCCAUGAAAGAGCCAUAAAGCAGCAGCACGGAUGGUCCGUGGUUCCAUCUAGGUCGUGGAGUUCUUAAAAUGUCAAAAUUUCAAAAGUUGAAGUACAAGCACAACCGUGUGCCCCAACACGGUAGAAACAAGCAUGAUUGUGCACUUCAGAAGCACGACUUUUGCACCCCUCAAAACACAACAAAAUGUCAAAAGUUGGAAAGGUGAGCAUGACCGUGCACCCUUGAAGCACGACCGUGAGUCUUGUGCAGAGAAAAAUAGUUGUUACAACCUCUUAAAGUUCUUUGGUUCAUGGCUUGUAACUUGUUUUUAAUAUAUUUGUCUGAGGCUCUAGGCUAUAAAUAUACCUCACUUCUAAGGAAAAAAGAAUCUUAGAUACUUGUAAACUUACUCUAAAGUUGAAAGCAUAAUUUUGCAAUGUUUUAAGUUCUUUGUUCUUUAUUUUUCAUUUCUUUACAUUUGUAUUCUUUACUUUUCUGUUCUUUACAUUUUCAGUAUUUUAUCUUCAUGUCUUUAUAUUUUAAUCACAUGUCUAUUAUGAUCAUAUGUUAGUAAACAAACUAUUCUAGUCUUGGAAUUGUUAGAAUAAUCAAUCUAAUGAUUGAAUGUUAAUCAACCCAAGUCUAGACUCUAUUUUAUAAGAAUCCAUUUUAUAAUCUAAUAUCAUCGUUACUAAAUUUUAUUUUAUAAUCUAAUAUCAUUGUUAUGAAAUUUUAUAACAAGUAUCAAACAAAGAACUGAGAGUUGAUGUUUGAUAUUGUUAUUUAAUCAUGUCUAAGAUAUCAAACGAAGGACCGAGAGGUGAAAUUUGAUAUUGGAAUAAAUGAGAUUGUAAGAGAUAAGCAAAAUAUGAAAAUAAUUUUAUGACUCUUAGGACAAUAAGGUUAUAAGGUUGCACUCGAAAAGUUUCAAUGAUAAUCAACUAUGAGAAUAGGUUUAAUUACUGUUGAGAUACAUACAUUCAUGUAAUCUGAUAGGAAACUGAUAGAAUAUGUGUUACUUAGUCAUGUAAUUUGUAUUAUUAAAAGAAUAUUAAUACGUAUUCAUUGUGUUAAUUAGUCAUUCAUUUUGUAUUCAUUAGUCAUUAAGAGAAUGAUAACAAUUUGAUGUAUAUAAUGCACUCAGAUUAUCAAUGAAAAUCAUUCAGCUAUUUUCCUAUAUGGUAUCAGCUAGGUUUUAGAUCCUCUCCUACUUCUUCUAGCCGCCCACCACCACCUUUUCUUCCCUAUACUUCCGUUAUAAACCGCCAUCCAUGGCUACCUCAACAACAGCUGAAUCAACCACUCUCUCAACAAAUUCCUCUCCCGUGACAGACACAUUUGUCUCAACGGCACCAUCAUCAAAAAUUCACUCGGCCUUCACUAUCAACAACGUGAAGUCUAUCAUUCCCGUAACCUUGCACAAUGGCAGAAUGCUUUUCAUUGAUAAUCUGAGUGCAUUAUAUACAUCAAUUUGUUAUCAUUCUCUUAAUGACUAAUGAAUACAAAAUGAAUGACUAAUUAAUAUAAAUGAAUACCUAUUAAUAUUCUUUUAAUAAUACAAAUUACAUGACUAAGUAACACAUAUUCUAUCACUCCCACGCAGUUGAUGCGGGAGGUUGUCGGACGCUGAGUCUGUCCCUAAAAUCUUGAAAUAAAACCAAUGGGAGACCCUUAGUGAAGAUAUCUACAAUUUGAUAGCGUGAUGGAACAUGUAGGACACGGAUGUCUCCACGAGCUACUUUUUCACAAACAAAAUGAAUGUCCAUUUCGAUAUGUUUUGUGCGUUGGUGCUGGACGGGAUUUCGGAUAGAUAUAUGGCACUAACAUCCUUAUUAUCUAAUCCUAAACUACAAUGCACACAACAAUUGCAAAACCCUAAUCCUUGGUUUUGAGCGGGAAAAUUGUGAUUUAACCACAUUUAAUGGCAUUUUUGAAUUUCAAAUCAUGUACCCUUUUGAAAUGUGUGCAUAUGUGCCUAAUUAAUGCAGAUUUUGAAAUUCAAAUAUCCCACCACUUGGAAUUGUGCUCGCUUCUUUCCAAGACAUGCAGUUACCCACUUCUCAAUGCAAAAGCAUCUGAACCAAACAAACCUAUUUCCUUGCAUUUUGCUCUUUCUCCCUCUCUCUCACUCCCCUCUCACGCCCAUUUUUCUCUAAUCAGAAAAGGUCAACGAUUUUCAGUCCCUCUUCUCUUCUCUCUCACUCCAGUUUUCUCUCAAAAAAAAGCCUCUUCUCUUCUCCCACGUUAUUUUUUUCUUCAUUUUCUAACAUUCUUCUUCAAUUCUCCAUCUCUCUCUCUCAUUGUUUCUCGCGUAGCUCUUCGUGUCUUAGUUUGGGUGUUCUCUUCAUCGCCGGUCAGCCUCACCAAGGCAAUAAGCAUCUUCAAGUUUUAUUGAAAGAGAAUGCUUCUAUGCAACAAAAUUUUCAAGACCUUCGAUCCCUCGGUAUGCGUUUUCAGUUUCGUUACGUUUUGAUUGAUUUUGAUUUCGCGAUUAGGAUUUUGGUAUCACCGGUGUUGUUUUGAUUGAUUUUUCCGAUUUGAUAGGAAAGGAGCUUGAAGAAGGUGGAGUUCUCAGUGAAUCGGCACUGUCGCGGAAGGUUUUUCUUUUCAUCAACGAUCUUCUCUCUCAUUCUCUCUCAUUCGCUGCUCUUCUACUAAGCUUUGAUUGUGGAACGUAUGAAGGCAGAGUGACAUCUGAUAACGAUCAGAAUCAAGGCUACUAAGCUUAGAUUAUGGCUUCUAGGGGCAGAGGAAAAUGAGGAAGAAAAAGCACCAUCAAUUACAAUCUGCUCUACAUGUAUAAUGUUUUCCGUAUUCGAAUUAUUUCAAAUUGCAAGUAAUUUAAAUUGAGUUUUAAGGUAGUUUUCUUUGACUGCAAGUAUAAGGGGCUUAUUUCACAAGGUUAUACUUAGAUGUGUAUAUUCACUAUUGAAGCUUAUUUUGAGUUUCCGUGAUGACUUACUUUAUCGAAAUCACGGUGUGCCGCCGCGAUUUAGAAAAAGUUAUAGGGUGCAGCUUUUACAAUAACUAAAAAUUAACUAAUGAUUUGCCUGAAGUUUCUAAUUCUUUUUAUUGGUCCGAUUACAGUCCCUCUCUGAUGAUUUUCUACAACUAUCAGAUUUGAUUGAAUCAACUAAGGUUAAUUAUUUUGUCCAUAAUUUUUGCAAGAUAACUCUUCAGUCUACUGUUUUAGGUCAAAAUUAAUUUAUUUUGUGUAUAGAACAAUAGUUAUGCAGACCACCCAUUUCAAUAGGAUAAUGUCAAAAUUAAUUUAUGCAGACCAUCCAUUUCAAUAAUCAAUAAUGUUUUUUUGGGUUUGUUUGUAUAAUAGCAGGUUUUUUAAGAUUUGUUUUGUGUAUAAUGUGUCAUUUCACUCCACGUAGCCAAUCUUAGUGUUUGUUCAUGAAUAGAAAGUGGCUCAUAAAACAAUUUAAGGGUUCGAUUGUUCUAUAUUAUCUUUGCUCAUCUCUCUUAGUGUUUGAAAUUAGUUCAAAGAGUGGUCUAAAAAUUCUGCUAACAUAUGAGGAUGACGCUUGCAUUGAUAGUUUUUUUUUUUAAAAAAAAAAAAAAAAUCGCAUUGUAUACACAUAAAUUCCUUGAAAUAUAAUUGUAUACACAACGUACACUACAUACGAGGUCAACUUUACGUCGCAAUAUCCAAGGUGACCUCCAGGAAUGGGUUGAAGAUUUUAAUGAAUGAUGAUAAUAGUAAUAGCAUGAAUAGCACUUCAAAUGUAGUUAUAAGGAGAUUUUCUGCAAUCUACCGAUUUAAGGUCUUUUUUAAUGUAUUUUUUUUAGAAACAAUUUAUUUUGUACCGCAAGCAUAUUUAAUUUCAAUACAUUUUGUAAUAGCAUAUUUUAUUUUGUACAGCACGGGUGGAUGGUCUAGUUAUCACAAUAAACUAAACUAGCCUUGUGAAUGGGGAAAUGUAAUUCCAAAAGCAAGUUUCAUAACCAACAAGAUUCAGAAACCGCAUUGGAACCCCUCGAUAUUCUGCUUCAGCACUUGAACGAGAUAAAGUAGGUUGUCGUUUGGAAGACCAUGAGAGUAAGUUGUCACCAAGAGAUACACAGCAACCAGAGGUGGAUCGUCAGGUAUCUAGGCAACUUCCCCAAUCUGCAUUGUGUAAACAAUCAAUGAUGAUGUAGAAGAAGAGUAAAGUUGCAGUCCAUACUCGCGUGUGCCCUGAAUAUAUCUCAGGAUGCGUCAAAGGGUGUGCAUGUGAUCAUCCAUUGGAUUGUGCAUAAAUAAACAUAUUUGUUGCACUGCAUAAGAAAUGCCAGGCCUUGUGAAGGUGAGGUAUUGUAGGGCGCCAGCAAGGCUGCGAUAUAGAGAAAGGUCUUCAAAUGGGGUGCUAGUUUUGGCUCUCAUCUUUGGUUUAGUAUCAACCGUUGUAGGACAUGGUUUACAAGAAGCCAUUCCAGCACGAUCAAUAAUUUCUUCUGCAUAUUUUUUCUGAGACAAAAAUAAGCCACCAGGAUGACGUGUGACAGCAAUACCCAAAAAAUAAUUCAACAAUCCCAAAUCUUUCAUAGCAAACUCGGAACUAAGGAGUGAUAUGAUAGACUUUCAAAGGUCGUCAGAGGAAGAGGAAGCAGUAAGAAUGAUAUCAUCUACAUACAGUAUGAGGUAGGCCAAAAGGUGGGUUUUUCCUAUAUGGUAUCAGAAAAACUCUGCUUCCCGGAACUCUGGCAGAGGUGGUCGAAAUGGUACUGGUAAUUAUUGAUCUAUAACAAUAACCAUAUACGAAGACUACCUCAAAAAAAAAAAAAAAAAAAACGUACGAAGGAGAAUCAACCAUCUGGAUAAUACAUAUCCUUAUUUUAUUUAUUUGAAUUUGAAUGGCAACCACCAAAGCCACAUAUAGAAAGAAUAUUUUCCUACCAAUCGUACAUGAUGCCCAUAACAAAAGAUAGGUUCCAUAAUAUGGCCCCAUAAUAUCCUUAUCCUUAUAAUUAUGGUUCAGAAAAUAAAAAACCUCGUUAAGUUUUAGGAUUAUUUUAAGUUGAUAAAUAUUAACGAGUAUCUUCAGAGCAUUUUUCAAACAUCUAAAGUGGUAAGAUUUUAUGAAAGUUGAGCAUUUAUUAUAUUGGAAAUUGAAGUCUUUACAUUUCUUUUAAAAAUAAUUUUUUCAUUAUAAAUGCUUAAAAGGUGCUCCAUGGACAUUCAUUAACAGGACUCUUUUAAAUUUUAGAAUGUUAGCAUUUCCCUAAAACACAUGUUAAAGAUAGAGAUAUAUUAUGGCCUCUCACGGUAGCACCCGCCUACGUAGCGAGUUUAUGGUCAAUCUAAGUCAUUUACUAAAUGUCAAAAUUAUGUAUGAAUUGAAUUAUUCAACAAUGUUACAAGCUCCAUGUAUUUGCUACUAGUUGAUGAUCACUAACUAUCCUUUCAUUUUCCAUACAACUAGACCAUUUUUUUUUAGUAUUAUUUGCUCUAUCUCUCCACUUGUUUCCACAAAUAUGAUUAAUUUUUUUCGAAAAUUUUGUUUUUUUAAAUAUGAUAUUAUGGAAAACAAAAUUCGAAAAUUUGAAUAUAUAUUAAUCUUUUCCACAAUUUUUUUAAAUAUUUCCCGAUUAUUUUUAUAAUUUUUCCAGAUUUUUUUCAUUAUUUUUUAUUUUACCAGAUUUUUUUAAUCAUUAUUAAUUUUUACAUUUUUUUUUUAAAUUUUUCAGUAUUUUUUUUAAUCAUUAUUCGUUUUUUAAAUUUUUUUAUUUUUAUUUUAAAAAAAUCACAAAUGCCACGUGGCGUUCAUUUACACGCGUGGCAUGAAAAAAAUUAAACAAAAAAAAAUUGACACGUCACUGCCACGUAGUAGAUUCUGCCGACACAUUGAGGUGAGGGGUCAAUCCUGAAGAAUCUUCAUUUUUCAAGGGUGGAAUCUAAAAAAAAAAAAUUACAGGGGCUAAAACCAAAAGUGCAUUAUAUUACAAAGGCCAAAAACACUAUUAACACUAUAUUAUUACUUCUUCUUUUUUAUAAAAAUCCAAAUAAAAAUCAUUUGCAUUGCAGCCAAUUGGCCAAAUGCAACAUGACAAGCGCAAAAUUGCUCCAUGUUGACUUGUGAGAACUCUUGUUCUAGAUAGAGAACCUUAUAGUUUUUGUUGUCACAGAAAAUGUUAAACAACUUUUUCCAUGCAAUUUAUGCGUCUGAAUCGCGCUUGAUGAUGGUGAUGAGAAUAUAUUCUGAGGUGGUGUCAUAUAUCCAUUAUAAUACGACAACAUCAAAAAGCGGCCAAAGAUUGGGAUUGAUUUCUUUGAGAGAGGGAGUUGUUGGCUUAUUAGUGGGUGAGGGAGGAAUGAUGUGAUGAAAGACUUGAUGAACCCUUGCAUGAAUUUUAAAGAGUUCGAACCACGUAUUAUAUUGGACCCUUUUUUAUACUAAACGUAACCUUGAUGAAAUUGGUGAUAAUUGAAAAUGGUGGUAGAGGGAUGGAUAGGUGUGGAAGGAGUUGGGGUUGAAAUUGUCCUUCGAGUGGUAGUAUUUUUGGGGAUGAUUCGGCCCUGAUGGUGAAUGAAGGAGAAGAGGAACGAUGGCGCUGUAUUAGGUUUACGAGAGAAGGAUGAGUACCAACAACUUACUGAUACCAUGUAAGAAUUAUAAUAAGAUAAUUAUUAGUCGUGUGUCAUUUGCAUUGAGAGGAUCCGUUGACACUAGGUGUCAAACUUUAGUUUGACAUCAAAUCUCAACCGUCUAUUAUGUCUAAUCUAAUGGUCUGUGAUUAUUUAUUAAAUUAACUUGUGUGAUCUUUUUCCCAUGUCUCACCUGAUCCCACGCCGGCUGUUCUGCUCCAUCUCCUUCAACUUAUCAAAGUUAAUAUGGCCAACAAUCAAAUACACACACAAAUUAAUUCUUUUUUUUUUUUAAAGAAGAAGAAGCUAAAUUAGCCCACACAAAUUGGCACCGGAGAGAAUCGAUCCUGAGACCUCGAGGAGGAGCACACUCCCAGAUCCCAAGUCAAUACCACCAGACCAACCCAAAUGAUAAAUAAGGAGUUAAUUCUAAAUAAGGAGUUAUACAUAUAAUUACAUAUUGUUGACAUUAAUUGUUCUCUGUGGGGCAAGAUACUUGAGGUGUAAGUUUCAUAAGAUGCAAGUUCUUUUAAGUCUAAAUUGUCUUAUACUUACAUUAUUUUAGGUCUAAAUUUCAGAAACCAUUAUCACAAAUUUUUUGACAAUCUUAUCUCACAUACUCGUACUAUAUUUUUACUUCUCUUUUUGUUGUUUUGGUUUUUGUUUUCAUACCUAAUUUUCCUUGUAAAUCUAUAGUUGUCUCAUAAAUUAUCGUUAAAAUUGUUGUUCAAAUAACACAACUCCUAUUUCUAAUACUCAAAAUUUGUUCAAAUUAAGUUUUUAAAGAACUUCUAAUAAAAUCAGAUUAAGUUUUUUUGAACUUUCUAAAUACUUAAAUUGAAUUUUCUCGAAUAUACAUCUUGGAGAAAGAAAAAAAAUAAUUAUAGGAGGGAGAUGCAAAACUUACGUUUUCUUUCACUAGAAACAUAUUUUGAGUUUUCAAUAUCAUCAAAAUCAUAAACUUUAUUUAUUUGCAAAUCUAGAGCACAUAUAGCACGAUUUUCUCUCAUAAUUUACAUUGAUAUAACACAUAUUAUGUUCUUACCUUGCCCAAACAUUCGGGAUUUAAUUGAUAAUGUAAAAGAUGUUUUCAAAUGUAGAAUAAGAAAGAUGGAAAACCUCCAAGCCAAAUUAUACACAAGAAUAUAAAACAAAGCAUUUACUUGGUAGAUAAUAUUUUCUUUUUAAACAGCAAAUUUUAUUCAUAAUAAGAUAACCUAACACAAGAAGUGAAGAGGCUAUAGGGGAAAGACACAAGGUAACAAUACAUAAAGACAACUAAACCAAUGCUAAAAAUCCACAUCACAAAACCACCCAAACAACCCUUAAUACAAUAUAAUCACAGCAGAAAAACCUUAACCAAAUCAAGCAAACACACCCAGACCUUCCCCUAACACAAAAUCAAACCAGUUUCCAUCAACACCACAUCAAUAGACCCCUUAAAUAAUUGAACAAAAACCAGCCACCUAAACUUCCUGGUACCAGUAAAUUACAAUUACUUAGUAGAUAUUGAUAUGUCUUGUUGCAUUGAUGUUUCAGAAAUGUGUGGCUGGAGGGCAAUCUUUGGGUCGUAACUUCCACAAUAUCUUCGAGCAGCGAUUGAUUUUGGGAGUUUUGAAUUUUGGGAAGGCAGCAUCAACAGCAAAAUGUUGAGGAGCAAGCAUAAAAGCAGCAAGGAAUAACACUAAUAAGGAUAAGAAAAAGGAAUUAGCCAUUUUAAGAAGUGAUAUUAUUAUUGUGUUGGUGCAUAAUACAUAUGGAGUUAACUGGCUUUAUACUAGUUAGAGACUCAAUGUGAGUUUAUGGUCAAUCUAAGUCAUUGUGUAUGAAUUCAAUCAUUCAACACGUAGGUUCCAUGCAUUUGGAAAACUAGUUGAUGAUUAAAAAUGUUCAAUAUAUUAGGCUAUGAAUUGUUUAUGAAUUGAAUUGUUGAUGAUUAAAACAGUGUACUGGAGGUGGAACAUGUUUUAAUAACAUUAAUAUGUAGAUAUUAUUAUUUAUGCAUUGAACCCUGUAUUGAUAAAAAUUCCACAUAGGUUACUUUAUUUGUCAUUUAUGCUUGAAUAUAAAAAUACAAAACAGUGUUUUUUCUUAUUAAAUUUUUUAAUUAAAUUAUAAAGAUUUUUAAUAACUUAGUGUUUACCAAUUGCACUCAUUAAUUCUUAAUUAUAGAAUGAUUAUCGUAAACUCAUUUUAGAUCCUCCAAAAAUGAAGAAAGCUCAUUCUUAGGACAACACAAAAGAGAAGAAACGCAAGAUUGUUGGCAUAUUGGUAGACUAUUUCUGUUUGACAAAUUCAAUAAGCUAGUUUAUAGUUUAUAAGUCCGAAUGAUUAAAAAAUGUAUGUUUCAUAACUGUUUUUUCAUCACUAGUUUUAUAGUUUAUUUUAUUAGUUUGUAGUUUAUUUUUUAGACGUUAUUCGAGAUUAUACUUUAUCAUUUUUAUUUGUGUUUACCUUUAUUAUUUUGAAUAAUUUUUAGGAUAAUUUCUAGUGUUGAUCUAAGUUGUUUUUCAUUGAAAAUCAAUCUAAUUCAUUGAAUUAGGAUUCAUAUAAUUUGCUUAGGUCAAUUGAUUGCAAAAUCAAUUCAAUUCUUCAAUUACACAUGUAUUGUGUUUUUUAUUUGAUAACUUAGUAAUUUUGUUCAGAUAGGUUUGGUUUGAAAUUGUCUAUUGUUUUGUACAUUGUUCAAAGAAUAUUAAAGUUUGAUUGUAUAAUAAGAUUUGUAUCGUGAAUCUCUCAAUUCUAAGAUUAAAUCUCAUUGCACAUAUAUUUGUCUUUUUCAUUCCUUGAUUGUCAUUGUUCGACCACGAAUCCCAUAGUCAAUUUUGUUGAGAGAGAGAGAGAGAGAGAGAGAGAGAGAGAGAUUGGAUGGACGAGUAAUAUUAGUGCAGAACACAUAGCAAAAGAGAAUCGAAAAAAGAGGAUCCCGAUCCUUUUCUAAAGGACAAUCAACCAUCUAUAUAACGACAAAUUUAAACCCAUCAUGUACAAAAAUAACGAUCAAGGUGAAAAUAUAAACGUAACAUUGAACUAUGUUAUUAAAUUAUAAUAAACUUCAAAGGGUAAAAUUGGUUUUUAGAUAAACAUAUAAGCCAAAUAAGGUUACAAGUUGUUUUUUUUUUUUUUUUGAAAGAAGGGUUACAAGUUAUAAGCUUGUGAAGAAAAGACGGUUAUCAAACACAACCUAUACAGCUCAUGAAGCUACCAUAAAAAAUUUAAUAGUGGGGAUGUUUAAUGAAGAUUGGUAGUACUGUAGUAGUGUUACGUUGAUCAUGGAGCUAUAGUUAUAAAUAAUUUUAAAGUGGGUUAUGUUUAUUGAAGAUAGGGAGAUCGAAGCGGAAAUGCUGGAAAAUGAUGAUGGAAAAAUAUAAAUCGGCGAUUUAUAUUUUAGUCCUUGUGAAAGUUAGAAUUUAAGUUUGAAGGGGUGCACGGGUAUUCAAGGAUCCGAAGAUUUUAAGAAGCACCAAAUUUAAGGUUUACUUGGAGUUUGAGGGAGUGUUUUACAUAGGAGUUGAAGAAUUAGGUUUUAAUUUCAAGGAACUCUUGUAAACAGAUUGUAUUCAACAUUUGUUAGACCAAGUACAAUGGCUUGUUGAAAGUGCCAUUCAACAUGUUGAAUCAUUGUAGUGGGGGGUGUUGAAAUUGAAAAAAAAAAAACUUAGUUGGAGGAAAGAGAUGAUGAACAAGUUUAACUAGCUGAAAGCCUGGCCCUCACAGACACGUGGCGCGACCCGAUUGCAUGAAACAGGCGAGUGCGAUGCACGCGACGACAGGGCGCAUGAGAGAUUGGAAGCGCAGAGAGAGAAAGAGAAAUGGAUAAAUGUUGUGACACUUGGCAUGUUUUGAUUGGCUGCUUGGAUUUUUAUCUUCUUAAUAAUUUGGACUCAAUUAUUUCAUUGUAAAUAAUUUUUUUUUACCAAAAUUCGUGAUUUUUUUUUCUCUAUAAAUAGAGACUUGGAUCAUUUGAUUUGGACACAGAAAAAAAAAAUCAAGUUUUUUCACUCUCUUAAUCUUAUUACUAGCUUUUCUUUAAAAGUUUAAGUCUGAAAUUGAUCCCAAUAACAAUCAAUUCAAUACCCAAAGUUCUUCAGAUUACCCAUCUAGCUACCAAAAUCCAAAUUAUUAUCAACACCCAAAUCAAUUUCUCAACCAACAUCCUUAAAACCCAAAUCAAUUCCCCAACCAACAUCCUCAAAACAUGCCUAAUUUUGGUUUUGCCUCAAAUUUCAAUCACUCAUCCUCUGUUCUAAACAACUUUUAUCCAUAUUAUAGAUCUAUGAUGGGAUAUCCAUCUCAAACACCCCAUUUAAUGGUUAUAUGCCAAUGGUGAAUGAAAAUUUUCAGAGUGUUAGUGAAUAUCCUGAAUUUUCAUCACAAAUAAAUAGUGGUGGAAUGACAAGAGCUAAUGAAGUCACUCCAAUUUCAGAGGAUACAACUCCUAAGAGCAAGAAAAACCAGCAACCAGGAACACUGAACAAAAUUUGGUGUUAAUUAGUGGGUGAAUAAAAUAUGGAACAUGCAUUGUUGUCGGGAGAAACCAGACAAGUGAAGCAUAUUGGGUUAAAAUUGUUGAGUAUUGUAAUGAGCAUCGCUCAUUCGAUUCUCCGCGCGACUCAGUUGCAUGCCGAAACCGUUUUAAUUAUAUGAGCAAAUUAAUAAAUAAAUGGGUUGGUGCUUAUGAUGGUGCUAAGCGUUUGCAAGGAAGCGGUUGGUCGAAAGAUGAUGUUUUGGAAAAAGCCCAUGAAUUAUAUGUGAAACACCCCGUUUUCCCAACUUGAAAUUUUUUGCAUAAAUCAGAGUAAAACAGCUAAACAGGAUGCUGCACUUCUUUCAAAUCUGAAUAUAGUAAAAUUACUAAUUAUCUCAAUCAUCAAAUUAAAUCUUAUUGCAGCGGAAAUUAGUUCAACGUUUAAAACAACCUUGGCACAAAGGCCUCAAUGUAAAAUCUCAUAAAAUUAUUCCAACAACAUGUUCAUAAAACUUCAUAAAAUAAUACGUAAGGAACGUAAAGCAACAACAAAAUUCUCAUCCCGUUACGUAUCAGAGCACCUAAGACACACGUGAGAGAAUCCACUCACGACCGCAACUAUUCUUGGUUACCUGCAAGUUACUCAAUUGUGAGGGCAACAUUUCCAAGCAGAAGGGGUGAGAUUUCACAUUCAAUAAUAAUAAGCAUAUAAUUCAUCAAAUUCAUUUAACAACUUAAACUUCAUCAAUUAGUAACACUAACUCUUCGCAUAAAUACUUCAUUAAUUAAUAACAUUAACUCUUCCUAUAAGACUUCAUUAAUAACUCAAUCAACUUCUAAUCAUCAUUAACUUCAUAUUCAUCACAUUAUAUACAACGUCAUACAACACGUAAUAAUCAAAUCAUAAACAUCAUCAUAUAAAAACCUAAUCAUCACAUCAUAAACAUCAUCUUAUAACAUCAUAUAGUUCACAUCAUAAACAUCAUCAUAUAACAACAUAAACAUCACAACAUAAACAUGAAAUAAGGUUAUAAGGUUGCACUCAAAAAGUUUUAGUGAUAGUCAACUAUGAGAAUAGGUCUAAUUACUGUUGAGAUACAUUCAUGUAAUCUUAUAGGAAACAUGAAAUACCAAAGAACAUCUUGUCCUUAGAAAUGAAUAGAGAAAUAGAUAUGGAAUGUUUAGGAUUUAACUUUAUGAUGAAAACCGCAAUCUCAUGACGCAUUUUUAUAUCUAAAUUUUAAUCAAAAAAAUAAUUGCACUUAAUCAAUUUAUUUUUUUCAGCUAAUCAAAACUAAAAAUUAGAUUAGUAUUUACUUAAAGUCCAUGUGAAUCGAUAUUUUACUAGAACCGUACACUUGCGUAAACCUAUCAAAGACCCUAUUGAUGUAUAUGGAAUCGUAGUUACCUAUCAAAGCUACAAAAAAAAUUAGAUCGGAAUUGGGGUCUUUCUGACCAUUCUUGAAGUCGAAGGGGGUUCGUUUACUGGAUGUAGCAUCGAAGGCUUGAGUGAAGAGUUCGAAGGGGUGCACGGGUAUUCAAGGAUCUGAAGAUUCAAGAAGCACCAAAUUUAAGGGUUACUUGGAGUUUGGGGGAGUGUUUUACAUAGGAGUUGAAGAAUUAGGUUUUAAUUUCAAGGAACUUUUGUAAACACAUUUGUAUUCAACUAUUAUAAAAAUAUCGGUGUUAUCUCUCUUUCCCUAUCCUCUUUACUUUUAGCUAUUGCAUGUGAUUAAUUGAAUAAUUUUUAGAAUAAUUGCUAGUGUUGAUCUAAGUUAUUUUUCAUUGAAAAUCAAUCUAAUUCAUUGAAUUAGGUUUCAUAUAAUUUGCUUAGAUCAAUUGAUUGAAAAAUCUAUUCAAUUCUUCAAUUACACAUGUAUUGUGUUUUUGAUUUGAUAACUUAGUAAUUUUGUUCAUGUAGGUUUUUGGUUUGAAAUUGUCUAUUGUUUUGUACAUUGUUCAAGGAAUAUUAAAGUUUGAUUGUAUAAUAAGAUUUGUAUCGUGAAUCUCUCAAUUCUAAGAUUAAGUCUCAUUGCACAUAUAUUUGACCUUUUGAUUCCUUGAUUGUCAUUGUUCGACCACGAAUCCAAUAGUCAAUUUUGUUGAGAGAGAGAGAGAGAGAGAGAGAUUGGAUGGACGGGUGAUAUUAGUGCAGAACACAGCAAAAGAGAAUCGAAAAAAGAGGAUCUUGAUCCUUUUCUAAAGGAGAAUCAACCAUCUAUAUAAUGACAAUUUUAAACCCAUCAAGUACAAAAAUAACGAGCAAGGUGAAAAUAUAAACGUAACAUUGAACUAUUUUAUUAAAUGAUAAUAAACUUCAAAGGGUAAAAUUGGUUUUUAGAUAAACAUAUAAGGGGUUACUAAAAAGGGUUACAAGUUUUUUUUUUUUUUUGAAAGAAGGGAUACAAAUUAUAAGCUUGCGAAGAAAAGACGGUUAUCAAACACAGCCUAUGCAGCUCAUGAAGCUGCCAUAAAAAUUUUAAUAGUGGGGGAUAUUUAAUGAAGAUUAGUAGUAGUGUUACGUUAUUCAUGGAGCUAUAGUUAUAAAUAAUUUUAAAGUGGGUAAUGUUUAUUGAAGAUAGGGAGAUCGAAGCGGAAAUGCUGAAAAAUGAUGAUGGAAAAAUAUAAAUCGAUAUUAUCUUUUAUUUUAGUCAGAAUUUAAAUUUGGUAUUUUUCAGUAUCCAUGUCGGCGAUUUUGACUAAUUUUGAUUAAGUAAACGUCUUAGUUGACUUCAAUGACUAAAGUAACUAAGAACAAAGAGUGAAUGAUUUAAUUCGGGUUUUAUCUAAGUCAUUGACCAAAAUUACAUCUUGUUACACUUUUAAGGAGAAAAAUGGUUGUUUUCCCAAUAAUGUUUUCCAAUAUUAAAUUAAUGUUGUUUUCUGCCUUAGGGAUGUUACCAAUUUGUUAUGUUGGAGUUACCUUUAGUGCUAAGAAACCUUUAGACCAAUAAAAAUAUUUUGAGUCCCUUUUAAAGUGGUAAAUACACUAAUAUAAAGUCAUUGUCAAUUGAUGUUAGGACUAUUUAUUAAGAAUGCAAUAUUUACUUGUUGUUCUUUGGUAGACACUUAGAGUUCAUUUUUGUGGACUGUAUGAACUUGGUUAUAUCAUAGUUAACGUCGUAUUAGACAAACGGAAAUGAAAGACUCAUCUCUCACUCUACUUAGGACUAGCCAAUUGUCAAACUUGGUUACAAUUUAUUUUGUUUGGAAAACUUAAUUUGAAUUUUCUACAAGUCAUGAAAAAUUCAAAUUUCUGUUUUCUGAUUAGAAGAUCAAUAAACGGUUCAAUAUCAUCACAAUCUCCAAAUCAUAACUUCAUUCAUUUGCAAAUCUAGAGCACAUAUAUCACGAUUUUCUAUCAUGAUUUGCAUUGAUAUAAGUAAGUAUAACACAUAUAUUUUACUCUUAACUUAGCCAUACAUUGCGGAUUUACUUAGUAGAUAGAGUAAUGUUUUUUUUUAAACAACAAAUUUUAUUCAUAAGCUAACCCAACACAAGAAGUGAAGAGGCUAGAGGAAACACACAAGACAACAGAUACAUAAAGACAACUAAACCACCCAAACAAUCCUUAAUACAAUAGAAUAACAUCAGAAAAACCAGCCACCUAAACUUCCUAGUACCAUGAAACAAUGUCAGGUCGCGUUGAUUUUUAGGCUGGAGGGCAAUGUUUGUUUCGGAAGUUCUCGACUUUCUUCAACAAAGGGUAGUGCUUUUUGCAGAAAUCGGGUAUAUGGGGUAUAUGUACUGGUUUAUCUUUUGGGAUUAAAUUUUUGAUUUUUGGGAUUAAUGCUUCAACUGCGGGACCAAAGCUAACAGCAUCAGCAAAAUGUUGUUGAGGAGCAAGCAUAAAAGCAGCAAGGAAUAACACUAAUAAGGAUAAGAAAAAUGAAUUAGCCAUUUUAAGAAGUGAUAUAAUUAUUAGUGUUGGUGCAUAAUACAUAUGGAGUAUACUGGUUUUAUACUAGUUAGAGACUCAAUGUGAGUUUAUGGUCAAUCUAAGUCAUGUACUAAAUGUCAAAAUUGUGUAUGAAUUGAAUUAUUCAACAAUGUUACAUGUUCCUUCCAUGUAUUUGCUACUAGUUGAUGAUCAGUCCCUACCUAUCCUUUAAUUUUCCACACAACAAGACCAUUCAGUAAUAUUGGCUCUAUCUCUCCACUUGUUUGCCCACCAUGGUUUAGCUGAAAAAACAGUGCAACUUGUUUCAAUAACAUUAAUAUAUAUAGAUAUUACUAUUUAUAUAUGCAUUGAACCCUGUAUGAUUUAUUUAUUUAUAAAAAUUCCAAAUAGGUUACUUUAUUUGUCAUUUAUGCUUGAAUAUGAAAAUACAAAACAGUGUUUUUUCUCAUUAAAAUUUUUACUAUAAAGAUUUUUAAUAACUUAGUGUUUACCAAUUGCACUUACUAAUUCUUAAUUAUAGAAUGAUGAUUAAAAAUUGUAUGUUUCAUAACUGUUUUUCAUCACAAGUUUAUAGUUCAUUUCUCAGACGUUAUUCCAAAUAACGUUUGAGAUUAUAGGUUAUCAUUUUAAUUUCAUGUUUACCUUUAUUAUUUUGUUUAAGAUUUAUUUUUAUCCUUUUUAAUAUAUACUAUUUAUAAAGAAAAUAUAGGGAUUUUGGGCUGACUUUUUUGUUAUUCCAAUUAUACCUUUAAAUAAAAAAAAAUCAAAUAAUGUGAUAUGGUUGGUGUUAAAUAAGAAUUUUUGUUAUAUUAUUGUUGUCAUUGAGAAUCAUAAAUAUUGUUUGUUGAGUUUGUUACAUUUGAAAGUCACAUAUCAUACUUUUAAUUUUUGUCCAUAUCAAAAAAUUUAUAUAAAAUAUCGUUUGUAAUUUACACGCAGAAUUUCAAUAAAUUAUCGUAAAUAAUUUAUACACAUUAACGUAAUAAAAAGAGCAGAAAGAUGAACAUGUGAAUGCUCGUCUUUAGUAAGUAAGAUUGUCUUAUAUACUUACAUUAUUUUAGGUCUAAAUUUCAGAAACCAUUAUUUGACAAUAUUUUUGACAAUUUUAUCUCACAUACUCACAUUAUAUUUUUACUUCUCUUUUUGUUGUUUUGGUUUUUAUUUUCAUACCUAAUUUUCCUUGUAAAUCUAUAGUUGUCUCAUAAAUUAUCGUUAAAAUUGUUGUUCAAAUAACACAACUCUUAUUUCUAAUACUCAAAAUUUGUUCAAAUUAAGUUUUUAAAGAACUUCUAAUAAAGUCAGAUUAAGGUUUUUUUGAACUUUUUAAAUACUUAAAUUGAAUUUUCUCCAAUAUACAUAUUAGAGAAAGAAAAAAAAUAAUGAUAGGAGGGAGAUGCAAAACUUAUGUUUUCUUUCUCUAGAAACAUAUUUUGAGUUUUCAAUAUCAUCAAAAUCUCAAAAUCAUAAACUUUAUUUAUUUGCAAAUCUAGAGCACAUAUAGCGCGAUUUUCUUUCAUAAUUUACAUUGAUAUAACACAUAUUAUGUUCUUACCUUGCCCAAACAUUCGGGAUUUAAUUGAUGAUGUAAAAGACGUUUUUAAAUGUAGAAUAAGAAAGAUGGAAAACCUCCAAGCCAAAUUAUACACAAGAUAUACAAAUUAUACACAAAAAUUUCAAAUUUCAAUUUUCUCGAGAGUAUUCUUAAAUGAUCAAUCAAUGAUUCAAUAUAAUCACAAUCUCAAAAUCAUAAACUUUAUUUAUUUUCAAAUCUAGAGCACAUAUAGCGGGAGGAGAUUGUCUCGUGUGAUUUUUCUCUCAUGUGUAAUCCAGACCCUCCAUUAAAUAUGUGAGAUAAUGUGUUUGUAAUAUAAAAUGACCGAACGCAAGAUAAAUUGUUUUUUUCUAAACAAUAAAUUUUAUUCAUAAGCAUUCCCGUGAGCUUAGCUCAGUUGGUACGGAUAUUGCAUUUUAUAUGCAGUGGCUGAGGUUCGAACCCCAGACACCCCACUUCUCCACAAUUAAAUUGUGUGAGCUCUAACCACUAGACUACUUGACCAAGAAAAAAGAAAUAUUCAUAAGCUAACCCAACACAACACAAGAAGUGAAGAGGCUAUAGAGGAAAGACACAGGGUAACAAUACAUAAAGACAGCUAAACCAAGGCUAAAAAGCCACAACACAUGUAAAUGGCUUAUCACAGCAGAAAACAAGGUAUAUCAAUAUCAUGUGUGACUACAAAACCGCCCAAACAACCCUUAAUACAAUAGAAUCACAGCAGAAAACACCCUUAGUAGAUAUUGAUAUGCCUUGCCGCGAUGAUGUUUUAGAAAUGUGCAGGUGGAGGGCAAUUACUGGGUCGGUUAUGCCCGUUUUUCCUCGAGCAGGGAUUUAAUGAGGGCUUUUGGGAUGGUUUAGGACGAGGGAAAGGUACUGGUUAGGAUGGAGUGAAAUGGGGUAAAUGCUUUAUGAUUCUUGGAGGGAGAUGUAUGGCAUCAACAGCAAAAUGUUGAGGAACAAACAUAAGAGCAGCAAGGAAUAACACUAAUAAGGAUAAGAAAAAGGAUUUAGCCAUUUUAAGAAGUGAUAUAAUUAUUAGUGUUGGUGCAUAAUACAUAGGGAGUUAAACUGGUUUUAUACUAGUUAGAGACUCAAUGUGAGUCUAUCGUCAAUCAAAGUUAAAAUUGUGCACGAAUUGAAUUAUUCAACAAUGUUACAAGUUCCAUGUAUUUGAUACUAGCUGAUGAUCAUUUAGUAUUAUUGGCUCUAUCUCUCCACUU